GGUUCAAUCCUAACAAAAAAAUGCUAACCUUCCUAUGUUUUCAUUGUUCUAUUUAGUCGUUUAAUAGAUUUUGAUCAAUGUUUCAAAAAAUCAUUAGGUAGUAAUUAAACGUUUUAUAGGGGAUUAGUUGUACUUGUAUAGAUGGGACGCCUAUAGGCUAUCUAAGCCGAUUUUGAAAAGUAGUUCUUAAAAAUCGUUUCGCUUAAGGCUAAUUUAUUUAUGACAGAUUUAUUAGAACAUUGAUUCACAUUAACCUUGCUAAUGAAUCUGAACUCCUCCCCUUUUUUUGGUGAGUGAAGAGAUAACUGUUCAAGGCAUAAAGUAGUUCCAAGUUGUGGGAGACCAUUGGGACUUAGCUUCCAUAAGAAAACAGGAGAUCUGUACUUUUGUGAUGGUUACUUUGGAGUCAUGAAGGCCGGACCAGAGGGAGGCUUGGCCGAGUUAGUUGUUGAUGAAGCCGAAGGUCGCAAAGUCAUGUUUGCGAACCAAAUGGAUAUAGACCAAGAGGAAGAAGUCUUCUACUUCAAUGAUAGCAGCGACAAAUACCACUUCGAGUAAUUAAAAUUACAUCUUCGUUAAUUUAAAUUCACGGUCUUAAUAUUUUUUUUAUCUGGUUGGUAACAUUAAGCAAAACGUGGAAAAUGAAAACAUAAAUAAAUUGAAUAAUAAAUAAUCUAUGGAAUAGAUUAAUAGAAUGUUACAUAGCUAAUAAAUCUAAAAAAUGAUCGUAUACUAUAUCAAACAAACAUAUAUACUUGUAAGUUGUAACCAACCUGUGUAUGUGUUAUGUUUGUUUUGUCGGACAGGCAAGUGUUCUACGUCUAUAUGUCAGGGGAGAAGACAGGAAGAGUAAUUAGAUACGAUAUGAAGAAGAAAGAGGCCACAGUUAUAAUGGACAAACUUCAUUUGCCUAAUGGUUUAGCUAUAAGCAAGGACGGAUCCUUUGUACUCACCUGCGAAAGUGGUACAAAUACUAUCCAUAGAAUAUGGGUCAAGGGUCCUAAAGCCGGGACCAACGAGGUUUUCGCCAAGAUUCCGGGUCCUAUGGACAAUAUCCGACGCACGCCUACGGGGGAUUUUUGGGUCGCAUUGCAUUCCAAAGACAGUUUGUUCACUCGUGUGUUUGUGAGUCACUCUUUGGUCGGAAAGUUUUUCAUCAAGACGCUAAAGGUGGAGACUGUGGUUCAUCUCAUUAAUGGAGGGAAACCUCAUGGAAUUGUUGUGAAACUCUCUGGAGAGACAGGAGAGAUUCUUGAGAUACUUGAGGACAGUGAAGGGAAGACGAUGAAGUAUGUUAGUGAAGCUUACGAGAGAGAAGAUGGCAACUUAUGGUUUGGGUCUGUGUAUUGGCCGGCCGUUUGGGUGCUUGAUAAAUCUGUUUACGCUCUCAAAUGAGUUAGCAAAUGCAAACAAAAAAGUAAUAAUUUGGUCGUAUGAUCUUCUUUUUUCUAACUUGUUAGAAGACAUGCAUCUUCGUUUGUAUCUUCUUGUUGUUGUGUGAAUGGACUUUGAUUCUGCGAAAUUUUGGUUCAGUUGAGUAAUUCAAUGUAGUUUUGUGGUAAAGCGAAAAUUGUGUUUGUGGUAAAAUGAUUUAUGAUGUACAUCUAGUUAAGGUUCUAGGUUAAUUUUUCCGUUUUGCUAGCAUCCCAUAAUUAAGCACUACUCUACUUGAACUGGUUUCUGAUCUGAAAUUUGAUUUGAUUAACCUGCUCAAUGUGAAUUAGUACUAGAGUUAAGCUCUCUUGCCACUUUUUAAUUUAAUGCACCACCAAAAGUGAUCAAAAAAAAGUUCUGCUAAAUGCUAAAGCCUAUCUCGUAUUUUUUUUUAAAAUUACAUAAUACAUUCAAAAGAGUUAGUUAUUAAUCUUAGCAUUUGGUGCAAUAUGAUCAGUGGGUGGGCUGAGUAUCAACAAUCAUAUAAAACUGAUUAAGAUUUUUGUCCAUUAAAUAUUCUCGUCCAUAACACACACACACAUAUAUAUAUAGUUUAACAGGUUCGUAGAUCCAAUUUUUCGUAUAAUUUUUUUAAUAUUAAAACCCGAAAACUUGAAUUCAUUUGACAAAUAAAUCCACGGUUACAACUAAAAUAUAAACAAACAAAAAUUAUUAAGAAGGAACAAAACUAUAUACAUGUAUGGGACCUUGUGGUCUAGUGGUAAAGAGAAUAACUUGGGAAGCCAACACGUUUCAGAUUUGAUCAACCUAUUGCGCGAACCUAAGUUACAUUCUUCAUGGAUAUCCAAAUGAAUAUGAGUUCUCGCUUUUGGGUCAUUUGAAAAUCGGGAGAGAAAGUAUUCAAGGACUGCAUUUUCUCUUGGAGAUUAGUCUGAACCCUUUGUCUCGAGAUAUCCCCAAAUUAAUAAAAAAUAGUUUAACUCUGUGAUGGUAAUUUUCAUUUAAAAAAAAAACUUUAUGUUUUUAAAUUUUUUUUUAAUGUAAGCUGAUAUAAGAAGUUUCAGUCAUAGAAAUUUAAAUGUAUUUGUUUACACUAAUCUUAGUCAUUUUUUAAAACAUGAUUUAAGAUAAAUUUCUAUUCAAAUUAGAUUUUCUAAAAUAUGAAAUAUGAAAACAUAUUCUAUUUUUUAGUUUUUGUUUAAAAGGAUACGAUAUGGCUCUAAAUUUUGAAUGUUCAAUAAAUGUAAAAAAAAAUUAAUGCCGAUUUUUAAAUCGGAUGUGUCAAGUCAAAAUUUUAUUAUUCAAUGUGUUUGACAAAAACAAUUGUCGUAAAUUUAAAGAUAUAUGGUUAUUUUGCGUUUGAUUCUGAUUUUAUAACAUAUUUAUAUUUGUUUUUAUUUUUAUUUUGUAACAUAUAAGAAGUUUCAGUUAGAUAAAUUUGAAUGUAAUUGUUUGCAAUAAUCUUAGUCAUUUCUUAAGAUAAAUUUAUAUCUGAUUAGAUUUUCUAUAAUAAGAAAUAUUCAAAUAUAUUAAACUUUAUACUUUAUGUUUAAAAUGAUAUAAUCGGGCUUUAAGUUUUAAAUGUUCCAAACAUGUAAAAUAUUUGAACACUUCUUUUUAAAUCAAAUAUUUCAAACUAAUUUUUUAUUAUUGAAUGUGUUUGAGAUAAAAUAUCAUAAAUUUAAAGAUAUAUUUCUAUUCAUAAUAUUUUUUAGAUUGUUUGAAAACUUAUAAUUAUUUUCCUUUUGAAUAAAAUUAGAACAAUCCUUUUUUUAUCUUUGAGAUUUUUGAAAUUUUUUUUUAAGAUGAUGAGUUUGUGAAGAAAAUAAUAUUUUGUGAUUGAUUCUGAUUUUAUAACAUCUUGAUAACCUAUUAUAAAGUACUUUAUACAUUCAUAAAAUAACUUACAAACCUUUUACAAAUUUUAGUAGGGGUUAUUGGUUGUUGUAUUUUAAUGGAUUUGAAAAUCCGAACCAAAUCUAGUGUUAUUGGUUCUGUGAUUUUAAAAUCUGUAUUAAAAUCAUGUGUUAUUGGUUUAAUGAUUCAUAAAUUCUAUAUUAAAUCAAGUGUUAUUCAAUCGUACGAAUUUACUAAUAUAUUUGAUUUUAUAAUGGAUUUGAAUGAAUUUGUUUGGAUUUUUUUGUUAAAAAUACAAAGACUCAAAUCCGAGGGAAAACCUUCGGAUUUGCAUAUUUUACUUGGAUUUAUAAAUACUAUAUGGAGUUAUAAAUCAAUCAAAAUAUAUAAACCAAUAACAAACCUUUAUGAAUAAUUUCACAGAACCCUUGUCCUCCGUCUUCUCUUUGCUGCUGUCUCGUCUUCUCGUGUUUCCUCGCCGUCUUUUCGCGAUUCAGGGGUAGAGUCUCAUUCCAGAGACGAGGUCCGAGUCGAGAGGAGUCUUCCGACUGGUGGUGGUUCUUCUUCUCCUGGUGUUUCGGCGCGGCGAAGACUGGUUCUCGAGACAGUGGUCGGCUUUUUAGUUUAUGAAAGCUGCUAGGUUUUUAUCUCUCGGCGCUUUUGGUUGUUACUAAACGAGCAGAGGACUGAGAGCUUCUCUUCUGUUCAUUUCAUCGGUCGUCUCUGCGGGUUUUUUCCAGGAGAUGGUGGCAACGGUGGAUCGUUCUUGACCUCUUCAAUGGUAUGUUGAAGAGCGAUGCGCCUUCUCCCUAGUCAAAAUGUGCGCUGGUGGGUCCUUUACCAUACUGGCGCACCCUGAACCUUUGUGUGCUGGUGUGAAGGUACUUAGUUCAGUUCCAGCUCGCGUUAGGGUGGUGAGUCGUCUGAAGGAGUCGUCUAUCGCUUCUCGGUGGCGGCUCACAGUUCUUCUUCACUUCCAAUCUCUUCUACUCAUCUCCUUCUCCUGUCAUCCGACUGAAGGUGGCCUCUUUCUUUGCGGAGCUUAGGCCUUUGUAUCACCUUGUUUUGUUUGGUUUCUGUUGAUACCAGAAGCCGCUCCUAGCAGCUCAGAUUAUUUUCCUUCGUUCUUGGAGGCUUCAAGUGUUGUGACGGUUCUUGGCUGAUGUCACACUUCGUCUAUGCUCACAUCCGAGAAUCGUAUAGGUUCACAUGAUCUUGUGCGGUGGUGCAGCUUGACUUGUCUGUGCAGGCUCGAGGUCCUUUUCAGGCUUGGGAGUGUUGGUGAUAACAACUCCGUUCUUGCAUUCAAGCAGCAGUAGCGGGUGUACAUCUCGUUUUUGAAACUCCGCUCAGGUAAGGGAUCUUUUGGAACUCCCGCUUUUUGUUGUUUCGAGCUUUAGUGUCGAAUUAGAUUAUUAACUUAGAUGAGAUCAUCGUAAGUUAGUUACUCCGGAGGCGACAUGGGAAGACCCUGGCAUCCGAGGAAACGAGGGGAAUCUCUCCUUCUCGUGGUUCUCAUUGAUGGUUGAGAACGAUUUUCAAUAGGAUUACGAAUCCGAGCUAGCGGAACGCGCCAUGUAUAUGGUCGAGCAAAGCUAGUUAAGAGCAUUUUGAUUUGAGAAAUUUUGUUUAGUCGAAGUUUGUAAUUGAAAUCUAUUCCCAUUUCGGGUUGAUAGAUAAAAUUUUAAUUUUUCUAUUAAAAAAAACUAUGUCUCUGUUUUUGUUACAUCUUGUUUGGAUUCGAAUAUGAUGCAGUACAAAAGCAGAAGAAACACAUGAGAAAUAGUCUUCAGUUUUAUCUGCAUUUUUUGUCUAUUCAUCGUUAAUAUGCAGAACAAAAGGAAAUAAUAUAAUAUUUAAUAAACUGUUUGUAAAUAAUUUUAUAUGUAAAAAAAAUUGUCCCCCAAACAUAGCAAAAUAAAAAGAUGACCAAAAACAUAGGGCCAAUAGGUGAUUUUUUUUUUCCUAAAAAUACUACACCCAUCUUAAUUUAUUGGAAAAUUGCCAAAAAUACAUUUUUGAAAGUACCACCUUUCAUGUUUACAAUAACCACUUUUACAUUCAUCUUUAAUGAACGGUAAAAGACAUUUAUACCCUUUUGAUUAAUUUUGACCAAAAAAAAACAUAUGGUUAACUAAUCUACACUUAAAACAUCGACUCUAAACCCUAAAUCAUCAACUCUAAACUCUAAACCCUAAACAUCAACUCUAAACCUUAAACCCCGAAACAUCAACUCUAAACCCAAAACCCUAAACCUUCAAAUCUAAACCCUAAAACAUCAACUCUAAACCCUAAACGUAAACACUGAACCCUGAAUCCUAUAUUUUUCUGAAAUUCGAACCCUAAACCCUAAAACCCUAAACCUUCAAAUCUAAACCCUAAAACAUCAACUUUAAACCCUAAAUGUAAACCCUAAACCUUAAAACCCUAAACCUUCAAAUCUAAACCCUAAAACAUCAACUCUAAGGUUUUAGGGUUUAGGGUUUAUUAUUUAGGGUUUAGGGUUUAGAGAUAAGGGUUUAGGGUUUAGAGUUGAUGUUUCAGGGUUUAGGGUUCGUAUUUUAAAAAAAAAGGUUUCAGGAUUGAUGGAAAUCUAAACCCUAAAACAUCAACUUUAAACCCUAAAUGUAAACCCUAAACCCUAAAACCCUAAACCUUCAAAUCUAAACCCUAAAACAUCAACUCUAAGGUUUUAGGGUUUAGGGUUUAUUAUUUAGGGUUUAGGGUUUAGAGAUAAAGGUUUAGGGUUUAGAGUUGAUGUUUUAGGGUUUAGAGUUGAUGUUUUAGGGUUUAGAGUUGAUGUUUUAGGGUUUAGGGUUUAGAGUUUACUUUUUAGGGUUUAGGGUUUAGUGUUGAUAGUGUUGGGUUUAGUGUUGAUGGUUUAGAGUUUAGAGUUGAAGUUUAGGGUUUAGGGUUUAGAGUUGAUGUUUUAGGGUUUAGAGUUGAAGGUUUAGGGUUUAGGGUUUAGGGUUUAGAGUUGAUGUUUUGGGGUUUAGGGUUUAGAGUUGAUGUUUCUGGGUUUAGGGUUUAGAGUUGAUGUUUCAGGGUUUAGGGUUCGUAUUUUAAAAAAAAAGGUUUCAGGAUUGAUGGUUUAGGGUUUAGGGUUGAGUUUUAGGGUUUAGAGUUUGAAUUUCGAAAUAGUAUAAUUUAUUUAAAUAUUUUUGUAAUAUGUAUUUUUUAUAUAUAUAAAGAAUAAGGGCAGAAGAGUCUUUUGCCACUUAACGAAGAAUGUAUUUUUGAAAAUGUAUUUUUUGUGGAGGUAAAAAUGAAAAUUGGUAGCAUGAAAGUGGUAAAUAUGUCAGUUUCCCAUUUAUUGGAAAAUUGCCAAAAAUACAUUUUUCAAAGUACCACCUUUCAUGUUUACACUAACCACUUUUACAUUCAUCUUUAAUGAAGGGUAAAAGACAUUUAUACUCUUUUGAUUAAGUUUGACAAAAAAAAACAUAUGGUUAACUAAUCUAAACUUAAAACAUCAACUCUAAACCCUAAACCAUGAAACAUCAACUCUAAACCCUAAACCCCGAAACAUCAACUCUAAACCCUAAACCCUAAACCAUCAAAUCUAAACCCUAAAACAUCAACUCUAAACCCUAAACGUAAACAUUGAACCCUGAACCCUAUAUUUUUCUGAAAUUCCAACCCUAAACCUUCAAAUUUAAACCCUAAAACAUCAACUCUAAACCCUAAACCCUAAACUUUCAACUCUAAACCCUAACACAUCAACUCUAAACCCUAAACCCUAAACCAUCAAAUCUAAACCCUAAAACAUCAACUCUAAGGUUUUAGGGUUUAGGGUUUAUUAUUUAGGGUUUAGGGUUUAGAGAUAAAGGUUUAGGGUUUAGAGUUGAUGUUUUAGGGUUUAAAUUUGAAGGUUUAGGGUUGGAAUUUCAGAAAAAUAUAGGGUUCAGGGUUCAAUGUUUACGUUUAGGGUUUAGAGUUGAUGUUUUAGGGUUUAGGGUUUAGUGUUGAUAGUUUAGGGUUUAGAGGUGAAGUUUAGGGUUUAGGGUUUAGAGUUGAUGUUUUAGGGUUUAGAGUUGAAGGUUUAGGGUUUAGGGUUUAGGGUUUAGAGUUGAUGUUUUGGGGUUUAGGGUUUAGAGUUGAUGUUUCUGGGUUUAGGGUUUAGAGUUGAUGUUUCAGGGUUUAGGGUUCGUAUUUUAAAAAAAAAGGUUUCAGGAUUGAUGGUUUAGGGUUUAGGGUUGAGUUUUAGGGUUUAGAGUUUGAAUUUCGAAAUAGUAUAAUUUAUUUAAAUAUUUUUGUAAUAUGUAUUUUUUAUAUAUAUAAAGAAUAAGGGCAGAAGAGUCUUUUGCCACUUAACGAAGAAUGUAUUUUUGAAAAUGUAUUUUUUGUGGAGGUAAAAAUGAAAAUUGGUAGCAUGAAAGUGGUAAAUAUGUCAGUUUCCCAUUUAUUGGAAAAUUGCCAAAAAUACAUUUUUCAAAGUACCACCUUUCAUGUUUACACUAACCACUUUUACAUUCAUCUUUAAUGAAGGGUAAAAGACAUUUAUACUCUUUUGAUUAAGUUUGACAAAAAAAAACAUAUGGUUAACUAAUCUAAACUUAAAACAUCAACUCUAAACCCUAAACCAUGAAACAUCAACUCUAAACCCUAAACCCCGAAACAUCAACUCUAAACCCUAAACCCUAAACCAUCAAAUCUAAACCCUAAAACAUCAACUCUAAACCCUAAACGUAAACAUUGAACCCUGAACCCUAUAUUUUUCUGAAAUUCCAACCCUAAACCUUCAAAUUUAAACCCUAAAACAUCAACUCUAAACCCUAAAUGUAAACCCUAAACCUUCAAAUAUAAACCCUAAAACAUCAACUCUAAGGUUUUAGGGUUUAGGGUUUAGGGUUUAUGAUUUAGGGUUUAGGGUUUAGGGUUUAGAGAUGAAGGUUUAGGGUUUAGAGUUGAUGUUUUAGGGUUUAGGGUUUAGUGUUGAUAGUUUAGGGUUUAGAGGUGAAGUUUAGGGUUUAGGGUUUAGAGUUGAUGUGUUAGGGUUUAGAGUUGAAAGUUUAGGGUUUAGGGUUUAGAGUUGAUGUUUCGGGGUUUAGGGUUUAGAGUUGAUGUUUCAGGGUUUAGGGUUCGUAUUUAAAAAAAAAGGUUUGAGGAUUGAUGGUUUAGGGUUUAGGGUUUGAAUUUCGAAAUAGUAUAAUUAAUUUAAAUAUUUUUGUAAUAUGUAUUUUUUAUAUAUAUAAAGAAUAUGCGCAGAAGAGUCUUUUGCCACUUAAUGAAGAAUGUAUUUUUGAAAAUAUAUUUUUUGUGGUGGUAAAAAUGAAAAGUGGUAGCAUGAAAGUGGUAAACAAGUAAUUUCCCCUAAUUUAUUUCAUUUAUUAACCAAAAAAACUAUAUAAUAUUUUUGUAAACAAUUAUAUAUUUUUUACUUGAUAUAUUCAUAAAUUUAACUUAAUUUUCUGUAUAAAUAUUUAUAUAGUUACACUAAAUAAUUUUAUAUAAUAUUUAAAUAAAUAUAAAAACAUAUAUGGUUGGUUUUAUUUUUCUUAUUGAUAACAAUUAACAUAAAUUUUCCUAAUUAACAGUUAUGUACAAAAAGAAAAUUCAUCUUAUAAGAUUUUUAUAGAAAUCAGUAUUUAAAUGAAUUCAUGCGUUUUAUUAACUGAUUAUAUUUAAAAUUUUAAAUAGUUAUUUUAUUAUCCUUCAUAUUUUAGACAAUGAAAUUUCGUAUAUAAUUUCUUUUUUUUAUCAUACAUAUAUAUAUUAUAAGACAUUCAUGUAUUUUUAUCCUUUGUUUGUUUAACUGGUUUUUCAUAUUUCAGGUUAUUUAUAUCCACAAAAAUAAUUGCAAAAUAAAAGUACAUUUUCAAUUUGUUUCUUAAGUGAAUUAUAUAUUUUAAAUAUGUUUAAAAUAAGAUAUUUGGAGUUUAGAAAAGGAAACCUUAUAACAAACAUUAGAUAAAUUAUUGCAAAUAUGUUAUGCACAAACAAAAAUACUCUAUAUGAAUUUUUCAGUUUAAUUGUAUGUUGUAAUUGUAUUUAUUUUUACAUAAUGUUUAAAUUUUCAUCGUAUUUAAUAAAAUAAUAAUAUUAAUUGUUUAUAUAUAAGAAUUUGUAAUUUUAUUUUAAAUAUUUAAAUUAUAUAUUUAUUUAUUUUUACAUUCUUUUAAAUAUGAUAAUUUUGUAAAUUAGUUUAACUAGUUCGAUCUACAUUUGUUUUGCAAAUUUAUUUGCUCUGCAAAUUUAAAUGAUUUGUAUUUGUUCUAUUUGAUAUGCAUAAAUAUGUUUGAUCCACAUAUUUUUUUGAUCUGCGUCCCCAUUAAUCGUCGGUGGUGUUUCCUAUUGGUACAGUAACAAAAACGAGUCAUUGGUCCCUUGUUCUGAGUGUUUUUCUGAGAAAGAAUAGUUUAGUAUUAUCGAGACUAGUGGCCUAGAAAACAUUGUAUGGGUCAAAGAUCAAGAAAGUUUUGUUCAGAAAAGAAACAGUAUAAAGACAAAAGGUAGAAAACAUUGUAAGCCUUUUUGGUUAAAGAGAACACUAAUAUGUACCUGCUCAACGUGUGUAACGAGUGUUGUGUCCGAAACACUUGAAAAAGAAUAUCUGUUUUAUCUAUUUAAUAGAGUAAUCAAGUGCACUAUCAUCAUUCACAUAACAACUUCUCCUGAGAGACAAGAGAGAUGCCGAUUAGCCAGAGAGUUCUGAAGCAGGUUGCAGCCUUUCCGGUUGUUUUAGCCAUCGUUUGCUAUUUCUUCUGGCCAUCAAUCAUCGCGCCGGACCUCCUAAAGGGCACGAAGGACGUUCUCCAAAUGGCUAAGACCAUUCCUCUCCCUGGUGAUGGACCAGAGAGCUUAGAAUUUGAUUCACAAGGUGAAGGCCCUUACGUUGGCGUCACUGACGGUCGCAUCCUCAAAUGGCGCGGUGAAGAGCUAGGCUGGGUUGAGUUUGCCUACUCUUCUCCUCACAGGUUCAUUCCUAACAAAAAGUUGCCAACCUUCCUAUGUUUUCGUUGUUCCAUAACUAGUCGUCCAAUAUAUUUUCAUCAAUGUCCAACAAAUCAUUUAGUAAUUAAACGUUUUAUAGGGGAUUAAUUAGGGUAUAGGUGGGCGCCUAUACGCUGUCUAAACCGAUUUUGAAAAAUAGUUCUAGAAAUCUUUUCGCUUAAGACUAAUUUAUUUAUGACCGAUUUGUUAGAACAUUGAUUUUCAAUAACCUUGCUAGUGAAUCUGACCCGCUUUUUUGUUUUGGUGAGUGAAGAGAUAACUGUUCGAGGCAUAAAGUAGUUCCAAGUUGUGGGAGACCAUUGGGACUUAGCUUCCAUAAGAAAACAGGAGAUCUGUACUUUUGUGAUGGUUACUUUGGUGUCAUGAAGGUCGGACCAAAGGGAGGCUUCGCCGAGUUAGUUGUUGAUGAAGCCGAAGGUCGCAAAGUCAUGUUUGCGAACCAAAUGGAUAUAGACCAAGAAGAAGACGUCUUCUACUUCAAUGAUAGCAGCGAUAAAUACCACUUCGAGUAAUUAAAAUUACACAUUCGUUAAUUUAAAUUCACGGUCUUAAUAUUUUUUAUCUGGUUGGUAACAUUAGCAAAACGUGGAAAUGCCAAUAAAAAUAAAAUGAAUAAUAAAUAAACUAUAGAAUAGAUUAACAGAAUGUGACAUAGCUAAUAUAUCUAAAAUAUGAUCGUAUUUUUUUUUUGAUCAAACAAACAUAUAUACAUGUAACCAACUUGUGUAUGUGUUAUGUUUGUUUUGUUGGACAGGCAAGUGUUCUACGUGUAUAUGUCAGGGGAGAAGACAGGAAGAGUAAUUAAAUACGAUAUGAAGAAGAAAGAGGCCACAGUUAUAAUGGACAAACUUCAUUUACCUAAUGGUUUAGCUCUAAGCAAGGACGGAUCCUUUGUACUCACCUGCGAAAGUGGUACAAAUACUAUCCACAGAAUAUGGGUCAAAGGUCCCAAAGCCGGGACCAAUGAGGUUUUCGCAAAGAUCCCGGGUCCUAUGGACAAUAUCCGACGCACGCCUACGGGGCAUUUUUGGGUCGCACUGCAUUCCAAAGACAGUUUGUUUACUCGUGUGUUUCUUAGUCACUCUUUUGUUGGAAAGUUUUUCAUCAAAACGCUGAAGGUGGAGACUGCGAUUCAUCUCGUUAAUGGAGGGAAACCUCAUGGAAUUGUUGUGAAACUCUCUGGAGAGACAGGAGAGAUUCUGGAGAUACUUGAGGACAGUGAAGGGAAGACGAUGAAGUAUGUUAGUGAAGCAUAUGAGAGAGAAGAUGGCAAGUUAUGGAUUGGGUCUGUGUAUUGGCCGGCCGUUUGGGUUCUUGAUAAAUCUGUUUACGGUCUCAAAUGAGCUAGUAAUUUGGUGGUAUGAUCUUCUUUUUAACUUGUUAGAAGACAAGCAUCUUCUUUUGUAUUUUCUUGUUGUUGUGCGAGUGGACUUUGAUUCUGAAGUUUUGAGUUGAGUUGUUUAAUGGAGUUUUGUGGGAUUUUAUAAAUUUUGUCAGGUGGUUAAAAAGAAAAUUUUGUGGGAUUUUAUAAAUUUUGUCAGGUGAUAAACCAUCUACAAAUAUAUAUAUAUAUUUUUAAAAUAGUUUCUCAUAAUUUGGUAACAUUUAAAAAUUAGCACCAAAGAUAUACACGAAAUCAAAAUAUACCCAAAAAUCCGUGAUAAACUAUAAAUAUCAAACAUCACAAAAUAUAUCCAAAAACCAAAACUAGAUCGAAUACAUACAUAAUUUAAUUUAUUACUUAUUUUUGGUGUCACAAUAUAUUUUAAAAUCUCAUUUUUUUUUUUUUUUGUUUUCUUGGAAUUUCUCUUAUAUUUUAGGUUUUGAGUAUAUUUUAUGUAUUUAAUAUAUUUAAAUAUUCUCGUUAUUUGAAUAUAUUUUGAUAAUUUUUUAUUGUUUAUAUAAUCAUAUAUUUAAUUUAACCAUGGUCCAAGCGGCGAUGCGAAAGGCGAUCUAGUGUUCUAGGGUUUCGAUGAUUCAAAGGUAUUGGGAUCCUGGGAUUAGAGAGGAGGAGAGGUUAACGGGUCGAUUUGAAUCGGAGAUUCGAUUUGGAGAUGGGAUUCUCCAAGGUCGGAAGGCUGAAGAUGGAAACUCGAGAUUUUCUUUUGAUUUUGGAUGGGUUGGUUUGAUCGAGGUUACGAUGAAGAUGGAGAUUUGGAUUUGGCGAAAACUAAGGAUUACGAGGAUCGGGAUUUUGAUUUUAAUUUCGAUCAUCAUCAAGACGAAAUUGAAUCAAGAAGAAAACGUAUCUUUUCUCUUUCCUUUAGUUUGAUCAAUCAGAGAUGUGGAGAUACGAAGAUAUCCCGAAAAGUGUUUCAGAAGGAAAGUUAUAAUGUCCUGGUACGAGAAAUGUGGGAUUGUAGAAUGAGUUUGUGGUUAAUGGGAUUAUUACGGGAGAUUGAUUCUGUUAUCAUGAAUCAAAGAGAAAUUAAGGAAAAUUGUGGGAGCCCUAGGAUGAGGAUUUGGGAUCAGUAUAAAAGGAAGAAGGGGUUCUAUACUUGGAUCAUAUACCUUGUAACUUUCUCUCUUGCUAUUGACAAAGAUCAAAGCUUUAUUCUUUUUCUUUUGGCUAUGACACAGAGUCAACUUUUGAGCAAUGUGGGGGAGGUGAAGAACGGAGAAGGAACUCGCAGAAGAUUUCAGUGCCCCAUUUCGAUAAUUCAGCUCUCAUCAAGACUUUUUCCAAAACUCUUAUUGGAAGAUGUAUGAAUCCGGAGGAGCAGGAGAUGAAGGCUCUGAUCUCGAAUCUCCCGAAGAUAUGGAAAUUUGAGGAGAGGGUUGUUGGCUCGGAUUUGGGUUUUGAGAAGUUCCAGUUUGACUUCGAAAAGGAGGAGGACAUGGAGGGGGUUCUUAAGCUUCAACCUAUUCAUUUUGAUUACUGGAUGUUGUCCUUGGCGCGGUGGCAACCUAACAAGUCCUUGCUCUACCCGUCGGAGAUAACAUUUUGGGUUAGAGUCAUAGGAGUCCCGUGGGAGUUCAAAACGGAACCCACUUUUGAGAGCAUUGGUGACGCCAUAGGAAGGACAGUGGCUGUAGAUUUGGAUCACUCUCGCGUGCAAGUGGUGGUUGAUGCUUUUAAUGAGCUGUGUUUUGAAACCACGGUAGACUUCACUGGUGGGGAGUUUUAUGAUGGAGAGGAAGCUCCGGUAUCGCUGCUGUAUGAGAAGCUGUUUGGAUAUUGUCAAGUGUGUGGUAGUCUGUGCCAUAAAGAUGAAGUCUGUCCCUUAGAUGUGAAGAACAUCAAGAAGAGCCCAGAAAAGAAACGAGAAGGAAGAGAAGGUAAUGGUGCUUGGUACGAUGGAGGGAAGUAUGAUGAUCGCGCAAGGAGUUAUAAAGGUGUAGUCAUUAAUGGAAACGCGAAUCAACAGAAUAAAGAAAGAGAAGGCCGGGAGUAUUAUGGCAAAAGUAAGGGCAAGAUGGGGGAGGAAACAUAUUCUAAAUGGAUGAAGGUGUCAGAGAGAGGAAGUAAGAGAGCCUACACUAACCGUGGAACUUAUAGAGGAGAUGGGGAAGCUUCUCGGCACAGACCUGCGAGGAGAGAGGACUCAAGGCCUGGCGCUAAGAGUGGACAAAUUCGACCCUCUUCAGGACAGACUAGGGAGCAACAGCCUCAACAAGAUGCUCGUGAGGAAGUUCGAGAGGAGGUUGAGAUCAGGUCCGCUGAGGAGUCUCGCGCAAUGCCACCUUCUCAAGCGUUUCAAGUGGAACUGGCCAAAUCUCAGGCUGAGGGAACGACAGUCAUCUCGGAUCCUAUUGAUGUGGACCAAGGGUUGGCAGCGGUACAUGGUAUGCAGGAGGAUCAUGUGGACUUAGAAGAUGAGGAUGUAAUGGACAUGGAUGAGAUUAAGGCUCAUCUACUUGAGAAUGAUAUAGAUAUGGAUGCAAAGGAUUUUUUAGAGAAGCUAGAAGAGGAGGAAACUAAGGAAGUGGGCAAGAAACAGAAAGAGGAGAACAAUGCUCAAGAGACAGACGAGGUGGUGUUUGUGGAAGAAGAGCAAGGCACGCUUGGUGGAGAUGCGGUGAAGAAACCAGGAUUACGUAAGAGUCUAUUCAAGCCGUCGACCGGUACUGCGGGAAGUACUAAAAUGAGAGCGUUCAAUGCGCUUGCGUCACCACGUAAGCGAGCUGCAGAGAGGCCAGGAACACGACACGGAGAUACCACCAAUCAAGCAGAGAGUAAGGGUGCUUCAAACCCGAAACUUGGAAAUCAGAGGAUCUGAUUUAUGGUUAGAGUCUUUUCUCAAGGUUUUUCAAGCAGGCAGGGCCUGUCUUAUGAUUUAGGUUGUUUUCUGGUUUUAAUAAGCUCUAUGAGCACUUGCAUUUUUUCUGUUUCUAAGAGUUGUAAGCGUCUGGUCUUACUGCGGUUUUAUGGUGGCUGUUAAGGGAUUUCUUUGAGGAAAAGCAAUGGAAUAAUAAAACAGUCUUGUGUUAUUGGUUUUGUCGUCUAACUAUGGUAAUGAAUUCUUGUAAUCGUUUUGGUUAUAUAGAUGGAUAUAGGAUUAGAAUGUGGGAUGAUGGUCUCGUUGGUUUGGAAAGGAAUCAGAGACAUAAUAGUCUUGUGGCGGGAAGGCGUCUGGUGAGUUUGUCAGAUUGUAGGAGGCGUCUGGUGAGUUUGUUAGGUUUCCAGUGGUGGCACAUGAAGUUAGGAGUUUUGGGUUUUAUCAUUUUUGCAUUGGGGACCACAGACUGUUUUAUAGUUUUGGUAUGUUACUUAUUUGGCAGAGUGAGAUCUCUUUUGUUAAUAGAUGUUCAAUGUUUGGAGAGGUUCUGGUUUAUUGGAUAUGGUGUUGCAGGUUUCUCUUUUAAGAAUAGCUUGAGGGGUUUGGAUUAUCUUAUUGUCUCUGAUACGGUGCGCGAACGUGUUGUGUCCUUGGUAUCAUCAAACCAGGAUCAGUUACUGAUUGGAUGGAGGGGAUUAUAUUAUGAUGCAUAUGCAAUGCGAGCUGAGGUUUUUUUCUCAAACCAAGAAGACAGUGGGUGUUGGUUUUUUAGUGAAACAAACUGGUUUCAAGUGGGAGUGGGUGGUUUUGCGUAUAAAAUGUGUGGCUUUGGUGGGUUACAAGACUGUAGUUUUUUUCUCGUUUAUGGAAUCGAUUUUGUAUUAUUAUGGAGGCUAAGUGAUAGAAAUUGGACAGUAUUAGUGGUAUCAUUUUCGAUUAUUAUGGGAUGGUUCAGAUCACAAAGAAAGGAAAAUAGUUGGAUUGUGGAAAUAGGGUAUCAUUACACCCAUAGACACUCGGCUCUCAGAGCAAAUAAAGAAUAAAUUUUUUAAAUGCGGGUUUUGAGUUGGAAUUGCCGAGGGAUGUGAAGUAAGUGAACUCUAAGCUAUUUGAGCGAGAUAAGGUAUAAACAUAAACCGGAUUUAUUGUUUUUAUCAGAGACAAAACAAGAUUCAGAGUUUGUCCAAAAAUGGCAAGCUCACUUUGGAUUCGAUAACCUAGUCACUAUAGACCCAGUGGGGAGAAGUGGCGGAUUAGCGCUUUUCUAUAAUAAUAAGUAUCAGGUAAAGGUAUUAUAUUCUAGUAACCGAAUGAUUGAUGUGGAAGCGGAAGUCCUGGGCAAAACGGUCUAUCUUACAUUUGUAUAUGGGGACCCAGUUCAAAAAAUGCGGGAACAAGUAUGGGAACAGUUAACUUGAUAUGGACUGGCGAGAUCCGACCCCUGGUUUAUUAUUAGGGAUCUCAACGAGAUUACUGGAAAUCAUGAAAAAGAUGGUGGGGCUAUAAGGAGUGCAGAUUCUUUUAUUCCUUUCAAUAAUAUGAUAAGAAAUAGUGGUCUGGUAGAAUUUCCGGCUAGGAGAAAUAAAAUGUCAUGGCAAAGGAGAAGAGGAAAAGGGAAAGGGGCAGUGAUGGUUCGAUGCCGUUUGGACCGUGCGCUAACAAAUGAAGAAUGACAUACCCUAUUUACAUGUUCCUUUACAGAGUAUUUUGGGAUGGUGGCUUCUGAUCAUCGUCCAGUGGUAGCUUAUAUGGAAGAAAAAGGUCCCAGACGGAAAUGACAAUUUCGGUUUGAUAAGAGGUGGAUUGGGCUAGAGGGUCUCCUAGAAUCAAUUACAAUGGGUUUGAUAGAUUCUAAUGAAGAAAUAGUAGGGGGGGGGGGGGGGGGCAGAGAGCAUAGUGGCAAAAAUUAGUAACUGUCGUCAUGAAAUUGCAAAAUGGCGGAAAAAUAAUUCACCUUAUGGAAAAAAAAAAUAAAUGAGUUACAACAAGCACUUGAAGAGGUGCAAACAAAUAAUACUAGGUCUCAAGAGGAUAUUCUGGAGGUGUCUAGGAAAUUACAAGACGCAUAUAAGGAUGAAGAAGAUUACUGGCAUCAAAAAAGUAGGAACAUGUGGUAUUCAUCUGGGGAUCUGAAUACAAAAUUUUAUCAUGCUUUAACUAAGCAACGGAGAGUUCGCAAUAGAAUUGUUGGAUUACAUGAUGCUAAUGGGAAUUGGAUUACAGAGGAUAAUGGUGUGGAAAAGGUGACAGUGGACUAUUUCGAAGAUUUAUUUACUACCACCUCCCCAUCGGAAUUUGAUAGUUUCCUGAUAGAGAUUACACCGGGCAUCACUCCUCAGAUGAAUCAACGCUUGUUGAAGCUAGCGACGGAGGAGGAGGUUAAAGAGGCUUUGUUUAUGAUGCACCCAGAAAAGGCGAUUAACAAUAUUUAUAUGAUACUAAAAACGGAGAGACCUACAAGGAUGACGGAACUGAGGCCAAUCAGUCUCUGUAAUGUAGGAUAUAAAAUCAUUUCUAAGGUCUUGUAUCAGCGUUUGAAAAUAUGUCUUCCCUUACUCAUUUCCGAGACUCAAUCUGCAUUUAUGGCAGGAAUAUUGAUUUCUGAUAAUAUUCUUAUCGCCCAGGAAAUGUUUCGCGGAUUGCGGAUAUCGGGUUCUUAUAAAUGGUCAACCACGUGGCCUCAUUGUACCACAUAGGGGUUUACGUCAAGGAGAUCAUUUAUCGCCUUAUUUAUUUAUUCUCUGCACUGAGACUUUAAUUGCAAAUAUAAAAAAGACAGAGAGAGGACAACAAAUUAUGGGAAUGAAGGUAGCUCGAGCUUGCCCAUCGAUUUCUCAUUUGCUUUUUGCGGAUGAUAGUCUUUUCUUUUGUAGAGCUCAAAAAGAAGAGUGUCAAACAAUCCUUAGGAUUUUAAAGGAAUAUGAGGCAAUUUCAGGGCAGCUAAUAAAUUUUGAUAAGUCUUCCAUUCAAUUUGGAUAUAAGAUUGAAGUAGGAUUGAUGGUUUAGGGUUUAGGGUUGAGUUUUAGGGUUUAGAGUUUGAAUUUCGAAAUAGUAUAAUUUAUUUAAAUAUUUUUGUAAUAUGUAUUUUUUAUAUAUAUAAAGAAUAAGGGCAGAAGAGUCUUUUGCCACUUAACGAAGAAUGUAUUUUUGAAAAUGUAUUUUUUGUGGAGGUAAAAAUGAAAAUUGGUAGCAUGAAAGUGGUAAAUAUGUCAGUUUCCCAUUUAUUGGAAAAUUGCCAAAAAUACAUUUUUCAAAGUACCACCUUUCAUGUUUACACUAACCACUUUUACAUUCAUCUUUAAUGAAGGGUAAAAGACAUUUAUACUCUUUUGAUUAAGUUUGACAAAAAAAAACAUAUGGUUAACUAAUCUAAACUUAAAACAUCAACUCUAAACCCUAAACCAUGAAACAUCAACUCUAAACCCUAAACCCCGAAACAUCAACUCUAAACCCUAAACCCUAAACCAUCAAAUCUAAACCCUAAAACAUCAACUCUAAACCCUAAACGUAAACAUUGAACCCUGAACCCUAUAUUUUUCUGAAAUUCCAACCCUAAACCUUCAAAUUUAAACCCUAAAACAUCAACUCUAAACCCUAAAUGUAAACCCUAAACCUUCAAAUAUAAACCCUAAAACAUCAACUCUAAGGUUUUAGGGUUUAGGGUUUAGGGUUUAUGAUUUAGGGUUUAGGGUUUAGGGUUUAGAGAUGAAGGUUUAGGGUUUAGAGUUGAUGUUUUAGGGUUUAGGGUUUAGUGUUGAUAGUUUAGGGUUUAGAGGUGAAGUUUAGGGUUUAGGGUUUAGAGUUGAUGUGUUAGGGUUUAGAGUUGAAAGUUUAGGGUUUAGGGUUUAGAGUUGAUGUUUCGGGGUUUAGGGUUUAGAGUUGAUGUUUCAGGGUUUAGGGUUCGUAUUUAAAAAAAAAGGUUUGAGGAUUGAUGGUUUAGGGUUUAGGGUUUGAAUUUCGAAAUAGUAUAAUUAAUUUAAAUAUUUUUGUAAUAUGUAUUUUUUAUAUAUAUAAAGAAUAUGCGCAGAAGAGUCUUUUGCCACUUAAUGAAGAAUGUAUUUUUGAAAAUAUAUUUUUUGUGGUGGUAAAAAUGAAAAGUGGUAGCAUGAAAGUGGUAAACAAGUAAUUUCCCCUAAUUUAUUUCAUUUAUUAACCAAAAAAACUAUAUAAUAUUUUUGUAAACAAUUAUAUAUUUUUUACUUGAUAUAUUCAUAAAUUUAACUUAAUUUUCUGUAUAAAUAUUUAUAUAGUUACACUAAAUAAUUUUAUAUAAUAUUUAAAUAAAUAUAAAAACAUAUAUGGUUGGUUUUAUUUUUCUUAUUGAUAACAAUUAACAUAAAUUUUCCUAAUUAACAGUUAUGUACAAAAAGAAAAUUCAUCUUAUAAGAUUUUUAUAGAAAUCAGUAUUUAAAUGAAUUCAUGCGUUUUAUUAACUGAUUAUAUUUAAAAUUUUAAAUAGUUAUUUUAUUAUCCUUCAUAUUUUAGACAAUGAAAUUUCGUAUAUAAUUUCUUUUUUUUAUCAUACAUAUAUAUAUUAUAAGACAUUCAUGUAUUUUUAUCCUUUGUUUGUUUAACUGGUUUUUCAUAUUUCAGGUUAUUUAUAUCCACAAAAAUAAUUGCAAAAUAAAAGUACAUUUUCAAUUUGUUUCUUAAGUGAAUUAUAUAUUUUAAAUAUGUUUAAAAUAAGAUAUUUGGAGUUUAGAAAAGGAAACCUUAUAACAAACAUUAGAUAAAUUAUUGCAAAUAUGUUAUGCACAAACAAAAAUACUCUAUAUGAAUUUUUCAGUUUAAUUGUAUGUUGUAAUUGUAUUUAUUUUUACAUAAUGUUUAAAUUUUCAUCGUAUUUAAUAAAAUAAUAAUAUUAAUUGUUUAUAUAUAAGAAUUUGUAAUUUUAUUUUAAAUAUUUAAAUUAUAUAUUUAUUUAUUUUUACAUUCUUUUAAAUAUGAUAAUUUUGUAAAUUAGUUUAACUAGUUCGAUCUACAUUUGUUUUGCAAAUUUAUUUGCUCUGCAAAUUUAAAUGAUUUGUAUUUGUUCUAUUUGAUAUGCAUAAAUAUGUUUGAUCCACAUAUUUUUUUGAUCUGCGUCCCCAUUAAUCGUCGGUGGUGUUUCCUAUUGGUACAGUAACAAAAACGAGUCAUUGGUCCCUUGUUCUGAGUGUUUUUCUGAGAAAGAAUAGUUUAGUAUUAUCGAGACUAGUGGCCUAGAAAACAUUGUAUGGGUCAAAGAUCAAGAAAGUUUUGUUCAGAAAAGAAACAGUAUAAAGACAAAAGGUAGAAAACAUUGUAAGCCUUUUUGGUUAAAGAGAACACUAAUAUGUACCUGCUCAACGUGUGUAACGAGUGUUGUGUCCGAAACACUUGAAAAAGAAUAUCUGUUUUAUCUAUUUAAUAGAGUAAUCAAGUGCACUAUCAUCAUUCACAUAACAACUUCUCCUGAGAGACAAGAGAGAUGCCGAUUAGCCAGAGAGUUCUGAAGCAGGUUGCAGCCUUUCCGGUUGUUUUAGCCAUCGUUUGCUAUUUCUUCUGGCCAUCAAUCAUCGCGCCGGACCUCUUAAAGGGCACGAAGGACGUUCUCCAAGUGGCUAAGACCAUUCCUCUCCCUGGUGAUGGACCAGAGAGCUUAGAAUUUGAUUCACAAGGUGAAGGCCCUUACGUUGGCGUCACUGACGGUCGCAUCCUCAAAUGGCGCGGCGAAGAGCUAGGCUGGGUUGAGUUUGCCUACUCUUCUCCUCACAGGUUCAUUCCUAACAAAAAGUUGCCAACCUUCCUAUGUUUUCGUUGUUCCAUAACUAGUCGUCCAAUAUAUUUUCAUCAAUGUCCAACAAAUCAUUUAGUAAUUAAACGUUUUAUAGGGGAUUAAUUAGGGUAUAGGUGGGCGCCUAUACGCUGUCUAAACCGAUUUUGAAAAAUAGUUCUAGAAAUCUUUUCGCUUAAGACUAAUUUAUUUAUGACCGAUUUGUUAGAACAUUGAUUUUCAAUAACCUUGCUAGUGAAUCUGACCCGCUUUUUUGUUUUGGUGAGUGAAGAGAUAACUGUUCGAGGCAUAAAGUAGUUCCAAGUUGUGGGAGACCAUUGGGACUUAGCUUCCAUAAGAAAACAGGAGAUCUGUACUUUUGUGAUGGUUACUUUGGUGUCAUGAAGGUCGGACCAAAGGGAGGCUUCGCCGAGUUAGUUGUUGAUGAAGCCGAAGGUCGCAAAGUCAUGUUUGCGAACCAAAUGGAUAUAGACCAAGAAGAAGACGUCUUCUACUUCAAUGAUAGCAGCGAUAAAUACCACUUCGAGUAAUUAAAAUUACACAUUCGUUAAUUUAAAUUCACGGUCUUAAUAUUUUUUAUCUGGUUGGUAACAUUAGCAAAACGUGGAAAUGCCAAUAAAAAUAAAAUGAAUAAUAAAUAAACUAUAGAAUAGAUUAACAGAAUGUGACAUAGCUAAUAUAUCUAAAAUAUGAUCGUAUUUUUUUUUUGAUCAAACAAACAUAUAUACAUGUAACCAACUUGUGUAUGUGUUAUGUUUGUUUUGUUGGACAGGCAAGUGUUCUACGUGUAUAUGUCAGGGGAGAAGACAGGAAGAGUAAUUAAAUACGAUAUGAAGAAGAAAGAGGCCACAGUUAUAAUGGACAAACUUCAUUUACCUAAUGGUUUAGCUCUAAGCAAGGACGGAUCCUUUGUACUCACCUGCGAAAGUGGUACAAAUACAAUCCACAGAAUAUGGGUCAAAGGUCCCAAAGCCGGGACCAAUGAGGUUUUCGCAAAGAUCCCGGGUCCUAUGGACAAUAUCCGACGCACGCCUACGGGGCAUUUUUGGGUCGCACUGCAUUCCAAAGACAGUUUGUUUACUCGUGUGUUUCUUAGUCACUCUUUUGUUGGAAAGUUUUUCAUCAAAACGCUGAAGGUGGAGACUGCGAUUCAUCUCGUUAAUGGAGGGAAACCUCAUGGAAUUGUUGUGAAACUCUCUGGAGAGACAGGAGAGAUUCUGGAGAUACUUGAGGACAGUGAAGGGAAGACGAUGAAGUAUGUUAGUGAAGCAUAUGAGAGAGAAGAUGGCAAGUUAUGGAUUGGGUCUGUGUAUUGGCCGGCCGUUUGGGUUCUUGAUAAAUCUGUUUACGGUCUCAAAUGAGCUAGUAAUUUGGUGGUAUGAUCUUCUUUUUAACUUGUUAGAAGACAAGCAUCUUCUUUUGUAUUUUCUUGUUGUUGUGCGAGUGGACUUUGAUUCUGAAGUUUUGAGUUGAGUUGUUUAAUGGAGUUUUGUGGGAUUUUAUAAAUUUUGUCAGGUGGUUAAAAAGAAAAUUUUGUGGGAUUUUAUAAAUUUUGUCAGGUGAUAAACCAUCUACAAAUAUAUAUAUAUAUUUUUAAAAUAGUUUCUCAUAAUUUGGUAACAUUUAAAAAUUAGCACCAAAGAUAUACACGAAAUCAAAAUAUACCCAAAAAUCCGUGAUAAACUAUAAAUAUCAAACAUCACAAAAUAUAUCCAAAAACCAAAACUAGAUCGAAUACAUACAUAAUUUAAUUUAUUACUUAUUUUUGGUGUCACAAUAUAUUUUAAAAUCUCAUUUUUUUUUUUUUUUGUUUUCUUGGAAUUUCUCUUAUAUUUUAGGUUUUGAGUAUAUUUUAUGUAUUUAAUAUAUUUAAAUAUUCUCGUUAUUUGAAUAUAUUUUGAUAAUUUUUUAUUGUUUAUAUAAUCAUAUAUUUAAUUUAACCAUGGUCCAAGCGGCGAUGCGAAAGGCGAUCUAGUGUUCUAGGGUUUCGAUGAUUCAAAGGUAUUGGGAUCCUGGGAUUAGAGAGGAGGAGAGGUUAACGGGUCGAUUUGAAUCGGAGAUUCGAUUUGGAGAUGGGAUUCUCCAAGGUCGGAAGGCUGAAGAUGGAAACUCGAGAUUUUCUUUUGAUUUUGGAUGGGUUGGUUUGAUCGAGGUUACGAUGAAGAUGGAGAUUUGGAUUUGGCGAAAACUAAGGAUUACGAGGAUCGGGAUUUUGAUUUUAAUUUCGAUCAUCAUCAAGACGAAAUUGAAUCAAGAAGAAAACGUAUCUUUUCUCUUUCCUUUAGUUUGAUCAAUCAGAGAUGUGGAGAUACGAAGAUAUCCCGAAAAGUGUUUCAGAAGGAAAGUUAUAAUGUCCUGGUACGAGAAAUGUGGGAUUGUAGAAUGAGUUUGUGGUUAAUGGGAUUAUUACGGGAGAUUGAUUCUGUUAUCAUGAAUCAAAGAGAAAUUAAGGAAAAUUGUGGGAGCCCUAGGAUGAGGAUUUGGGAUCAGUAUAAAAGGAAGAAGGGGUUCUAUACUUGGAUCAUAUACCUUGUAACUUUCUCUCUUGCUAUUGACAAAGAUCAAAGCUUUAUUCUUUUUCUUUUGGCUAUGACACAGAGUCAACUUUUGAGCAAUGUGGGGGAGGUGAAGAACGGAGAAGGAACUCGCAGAAGAUUUCAGUGCCCCAUUUCGAUAAUUCAGCUCUCAUCAAGACUUUUUCCAAAACUCUUAUUGGAAGAUGUAUGAAUCCGGAGGAGCAGGAGAUGAAGGCUCUGAUCUCGAAUCUCCCGAAGAUAUGGAAAUUUGAGGAGAGGGUUGUUGGCUCGGAUUUGGGUUUUGAGAAGUUCCAGUUUGACUUCGAAAAGGAGGAGGACAUGGAGGGGGUUCUUAAGCUUCAACCUAUUCAUUUUGAUUACUGGAUGUUGUCCUUGGCGCGGUGGCAACCUAACAAGUCCUUGCUCUACCCGUCGGAGAUAACAUUUUGGGUUAGAGUCAUAGGAGUCCCGUGGGAGUUCAAAACGGAACCCACUUUUGAGAGCAUUGGUGACGCCAUAGGAAGGACAGUGGCUGUAGAUUUGGAUCACUCUCGCGUGCAAGUGGUGGUUGAUGCUUUUAAUGAGCUGUGUUUUGAAACCACGGUAGACUUCACUGGUGGGGAGUUUUAUGAUGGAGAGGAAGCUCCGGUAUCGCUGCUGUAUGAGAAGCUGUUUGGAUAUUGUCAAGUGUGUGGUAGUCUGUGCCAUAAAGAUGAAGUCUGUCCCUUAGAUGUGAAGAACAUCAAGAAGAGCCCAGAAAAGAAACGAGAAGGAAGAGAAGGUAAUGGUGCUUGGUACGAUGGAGGGAAGUAUGAUGAUCGCGCAAGGAGUUAUAAAGGUGUAGUCAUUAAUGGAAACGCGAAUCAACAGAAUAAAGAAAGAGAAGGCCGGGAGUAUUAUGGCAAAAGUAAGGGCAAGAUGGGGGAGGAAACAUAUUCUAAAUGGAUGAAGGUGUCAGAGAGAGGAAGUAAGAGAGCCUACACUAACCGUGGAACUUAUAGAGGAGAUGGGGAAGCUUCUCGGCACAGACCUGCGAGGAGAGAGGACUCAAGGCCUGGCGCUAAGAGUGGACAAAUUCGACCCUCUUCAGGACAGACUAGGGAGCAACAGCCUCAACAAGAUGCUCGUGAGGAAGUUCGAGAGGAGGUUGAGAUCAGGUCCGCUGAGGAGUCUCGCGCAAUGCCACCUUCUCAAGCGUUUCAAGUGGAACUGGCCAAAUCUCAGGCUGAGGGAACGACAGUCAUCUCGGAUCCUAUUGAUGUGGACCAAGGGUUGGCAGCGGUACAUGGUAUGCAGGAGGAUCAUGUGGACUUAGAAGAUGAGGAUGUAAUGGACAUGGAUGAGAUUAAGGCUCAUCUACUUGAGAAUGAUAUAGAUAUGGAUGCAAAGGAUUUUUUAGAGAAGCUAGAAGAGGAGGAAACUAAGGAAGUGGGCAAGAAACAGAAAGAGGAGAACAAUGCUCAAGAGACAGACGAGGUGGUGUUUGUGGAAGAAGAGCAAGGCACGCUUGGUGGAGAUGCGGUGAAGAAACCAGGAUUACGUAAGAGUCUAUUCAAGCCGUCGACCGGUACUGCGGGAAGUACUAAAAUGAGAGCGUUCAAUGCGCUUGCGUCACCACGUAAGCGAGCUGCAGAGAGGCCAGGAACACGACACGGAGAUACCACCAAUCAAGCAGAGAGUAAGGGUGCUUCAAACCCGAAACUUGGAAAUCAGAGGAUCUGAUUUAUGGUUAGAGUCUUUUCUCAAGGUUUUUCAAGCAGGCAGGGCCUGUCUUAUGAUUUAGGUUGUUUUCUGGUUUUAAUAAGCUCUAUGAGCACUUGCAUUUUUUCUGUUUCUAAGAGUUGUAAGCGUCUGGUCUUACUGCGGUUUUAUGGUGGCUGUUAAGGGAUUUCUUUGAGGAAAAGCAAUGGAAUAAUAAAACAGUCUUGUGUUAUUGGUUUUGUCGUCUAACUAUGGUAAUGAAUUCUUGUAAUCGUUUUGGUUAUAUAGAUGGAUAUAGGAUUAGAAUGUGGGAUGAUGGUCUCGUUGGUUUGGAAAGGAAUCAGAGACAUAAUAGUCUUGUGGCGGGAAGGCGUCUGGUGAGUUUGUCAGAUUGUAGGAGGCGUCUGGUGAGUUUGUUAGGUUUCCAGUGGUGGCACAUGAAGUUAGGAGUUUUGGGUUUUAUCAUUUUUGCAUUGGGGACCACAGACUGUUUUAUAGUUUUGGUAUGUUACUUAUUUGGCAGAGUGAGAUCUCUUUUGUUAAUAGAUGUUCAAUGUUUGGAGAGGUUCUGGUUUAUUGGAUAUGGUGUUGCAGGUUUCUCUUUUAAGAAUAGCUUGAGGGGUUUGGAUUAUCUUAUUGUCUCUGAUACGGUGCGCGAACGUGUUGUGUCCUUGGUAUCAUCAAACCAGGAUCAGUUACUGAUUGGAUGGAGGGGAUUAUAUUAUGAUGCAUAUGCAAUGCGAGCUGAGGUUUUUUUCUCAAACCAAGAAGACAGUGGGUGUUGGUUUUUUAGUGAAACAAACUGGUUUCAAGUGGGAGUGGGUGGUUUUGCGUAUAAAAUGUGUGGCUUUGGUGGGUUACAAGACUGUAGUUUUUUUCUCGUUUAUGGAAUCGAUUUUGUAUUAUUAUGGAGGCUAAGUGAUAGAAAUUGGACAGUAUUAGUGGUAUCAUUUUCGAUUAUUAUGGGAUGGUUCAGAUCACAAAGAAAGGAAAAUAGUUGGAUUGUGGAAAUAGGGUAUCAUUACACCCAUAGACACUCGGCUCUCAGAGCAAAUAAAGAAUAAAUUUUUUAAAUGCGGGUUUUGAGUUGGAAUUGCCGAGGGAUGUGAAGUAAGUGAACUCUAAGCUAUUUGAGCGAGAUAAGGUAUAAACAUAAACCGGAUUUAUUGUUUUUAUCAGAGACAAAACAAGAUUCAGAGUUUGUCCAAAAAUGGCAAGCUCACUUUGGAUUCGAUAACCUAGUCACUAUAGACCCAGUGGGGAGAAGUGGCGGAUUAGCGCUUUUCUAUAAUAAUAAGUAUCAGGUAAAGGUAUUAUAUUCUAGUAACCGAAUGAUUGAUGUGGAAGCGGAAGUCCUGGGCAAAACGGUCUAUCUUACAUUUGUAUAUGGGGACCCAGUUCAAAAAAUGCGGGAACAAGUAUGGGAACAGUUAACUUGAUAUGGACUGGCGAGAUCCGACCCCUGGUUUAUUAUUAGGGAUCUCAACGAGAUUACUGGAAAUCAUGAAAAAGAUGGUGGGGCUAUAAGGAGUGCAGAUUCUUUUAUUCCUUUCAAUAAUAUGAUAAGAAAUAGUGGUCUGGUAGAAUUUCCGGCUAGGAGAAAUAAAAUGUCAUGGCAAAGGAGAAGAGGAAAAGGGAAAGGGGCAGUGAUGGUUCGAUGCCGUUUGGACCGUGCGCUAACAAAUGAAGAAUGACAUACCCUAUUUACAUGUUCCUUUACAGAGUAUUUUGGGAUGGUGGCUUCUGAUCAUCGUCCAGUGGUAGCUUAUAUGGAAGAAAAAGGUCCCAGACGGAAAUGACAAUUUCGGUUUGAUAAGAGGUGGAUUGGGCUAGAGGGUCUCCUAGAAUCAAUUACAAUGGGUUUGAUAGAUUCUAAUGAAGAAAUAGUAGGGGGGGGGGGGGGGGGCAGAGAGCAUAGUGGCAAAAAUUAGUAACUGUCGUCAUGAAAUUGCAAAAUGGCGGAAAAAUAAUUCACCUUAUGGAAAAAAAAAAUAAAUGAGUUACAACAAGCACUUGAAGAGGUGCAAACAAAUAAUACUAGGUCUCAAGAGGAUAUUCUGGAGGUGUCUAGGAAAUUACAAGACGCAUAUAAGGAUGAAGAAGAUUACUGGCAUCAAAAAAGUAGGAACAUGUGGUAUUCAUCUGGGGAUCUGAAUACAAAAUUUUAUCAUGCUUUAACUAAGCAACGGAGAGUUCGCAAUAGAAUUGUUGGAUUACAUGAUGCUAAUGGGAAUUGGAUUACAGAGGAUAAUGGUGUGGAAAAGGUGACAGUGGACUAUUUCGAAGAUUUAUUUACUACCACCUCCCCAUCGGAAUUUGAUAGUUUCCUGAUAGAGAUUACACCGGGCAUCACUCCUCAGAUGAAUCAACGCUUGUUGAAGCUAGCGACGGAGGAGGAGGUUAAAGAGGCUUUGUUUAUGAUGCACCCAGAAAAGGCGAUUAACAAUAUUUAUAUGAUACUAAAAACGGAGAGACCUACAAGGAUGACGGAACUGAGGCCAAUCAGUCUCUGUAAUGUAGGAUAUAAAAUCAUUUCUAAGGUCUUGUAUCAGCGUUUGAAAAUAUGUCUUCCCUUACUCAUUUCCGAGACUCAAUCUGCAUUUAUGGCAGGAAUAUUGAUUUCUGAUAAUAUUCUUAUCGCCCAGGAAAUGUUUCGCGGAUUGCGGAUAUCGGGUUCUUAUAAAUGGUCAACCACGUGGCCUCAUUGUACCACAUAGGGGUUUACGUCAAGGAGAUCAUUUAUCGCCUUAUUUAUUUAUUCUCUGCACUGAGACUUUAAUUGCAAAUAUAAAAAAGACAGAGAGAGGACAACAAAUUAUGAUUCUUUUAUUCCUUUCAAUAAUAUGAUAAGAAAUAGUGGUCUGGUAGAAUUUCCGGCUAGGAGAAAUAAAAUGUCAUGGCAAAGGAGAAGAGGAAAAGGGAAAGGGGCAGUGAUGGUUCGAUGCCGUUUGGACCGUGCGCUAACAAAUGAAGAAUGACAUACCCUAUUUACAUGUUCCUUUACAGAGUAUUUUGGGAUGGUGGCUUCUGAUCAUCGUCCAGUGGUAGCUUAUAUGGAAGAAAAAGGUCCCAGACGGAAAUGACAAUUUCGGUUUGAUAAGAGGUGGAUUGGGCUAGAGGGUCUCCUAGAAGCUCAAAAAGAAGAGUGUCAAACAAUCCUUAGGAUUUUAAAGGAAUAUGAGGCAAUUUCAGGGCAGCUAAUAAAUUUUGAUAAGUCUUUCAUUCAAUUUGGAUAUAAGAUUGAAGAAUCCGUCAGACAGGAUUUAAAGGAUAUUUUGGGUAUUCAGAAUCUUGGAGGAAUGGGAUCAUACUUUGGUCUACCAGAAAAUCUGGGGGGAUCAAAGAUCCAGGUUUUUAGCUUUGUACAAGAUCGUUUAAAUAAUAGAGUCAAUGGGUGGACUUUCAAGUUUUUAACAAAAGGGGGAAAGGAAGUGAUUAUUAAGUCAGUGGUUACGGCAUUACCAAAUCAUAUGAUGUCCUGUUAUCGCUUGCCUAAAGCAACGGUGAAAAAACUGACAAGUGCGGUAUCACAAUUUUGGUGGAGUCCAGGGGGAAGUACAAGAGGCAUGCACUGGAAAUCAUGGGAUAAGUUAUGUGUAGACAAGGAGUAAGGAGGUUUAGGGUUUAAAGAUAUCACUGAUUUCAACACAGCGAUGCUUGGUAAACAGUUAUGGCGUCUGAUAGAGAAGCCAAACACUUUAUUUUCUCGAGUUUUCAAAGGUCGGUAUUAUAGGAAUGCUUCACCCUUGGAACUGAUUCGUUCAUAUUCUCCGUCAUACGGCUGGCAGAGUAUUGUUUCUGUUAGAUCUCUGGUUAGCAAAGGACUAAUCAAAAGGGUGGGAUCAGGGUCUUCUAUAUCUGUAUGGAAUGACCUCUGGCUCCCAACCAAUCGCCCGAGACCAGCUAAUAAAAAUCAACACAAUUUAUACCUCAACCUUACAGUAGAGUCCCUCAUUGACUCUACCUCGCGAACUUGGAAUUCAGAGGUAAUUCGGACUUUGGUGGAUCCUCAGGAUGCGAAACUAAUAUAAAGUAUUCCACUAAGCGGGAUUCAUCAGGUGGAUAGAGAUGGAUGACAAUUUACGAAAAAUGGUAAAUAUACAGUCAAAUCAGGAUAUCAAGUAGAACGGAUUUAUCCAGAUAGAGAAAGACCACCACUACUGAUUGGGCCAACAGUUGAUGUCUUGAAGGCUUACUGCUGGAAAAUACGGUGCCCACCAACGCUAAAACAUUUCCUAUGGCAAUUAGUGACAUGGUGUAUAGCGGUACGGAAGAAUUUACAAGCAAGGGGGAUUCAAGGGAAUAUUUGUUGUGUAAGAUGUGGAGCUCCUGAGGAAUCAAUAAACCAUGUGUUUUUUGAAUGUCCUCCAGCUCUUCAGGUUUGAGCUCUUUCGAAGAUACCAUCAAAUCAAGCUAUUUUUCCAACGAGUUCCCUCUUCACAAACAUAGAUCAUCUUUUCUGGAGAGUUUUCCCGCAGAUGGAGGAUCACCAGUUUGCAUGGAUACUAUGGUACAUCUGGAAAGGUAGGAAUAAUAAAGUUUUUAGUAAUUUGGAUAUGGACCCUAUGGAUACGCUAAAAUUGGCUGAAACAGAAUCCACAUUGUGGGCUGAGGCACAAGUAGGGAAUUACCAGAGGACACCACCACCAAUAAUAGAUACGGUACUGUCGUCGAUCCCAAGAAGAUAGUGUUUCACAGAUGGCUCGUGGAAAGAGGGCGUUUAUUUUUCAGGACAAGGUUGGCUCAGUACUUUGGAAGGUAUUGAUGGAUUGUUGGGGGCGAAAAAUGUUAGGGCUAGUCUCUCGCCUCUUCAUGUAGAGAUGGAAGCGCUAUUAUGGGCAAUGGAAUGCAUGAAGAAUUUAUGUCAAUUUCAAGUUACGUUUGCAACGGAUUGUUCUCAAUUGGUGAAGAUGGUUUCAGAACCAGAGGAAUGACCAGCUUUUGCAAAUUAUUUGGAAGAUAUCAAGAUCCUGAAAGAGAGUUUCACCCGAUCAGAGAUUAUCUAUGUACCACGGACGCAUAAUUAAAAGACGGAUAGUCUAGCACGCAGUGGUAGAAAGCAAUCGUCUUUCAUCGUUCACAUAGAUGCAGAUCACGCAGUUUGGUUUACAGAAUCAGUAUGAAUCUAUAUUGUUGAUGACAAAAAAAAGAAUAUAUUUUGGUUUUAAUAAUUUAUAUAUUUCUCGGGGUUUUAAGUAUAUUUUUGAGGUUUUGGGUAUUUAAAGUUUUUCUUUUUCUUUUGGUUAUUAUUUUAGGUUUUUGGGUAUUUAUAUAUUUUUGGUUGUAUUUUGUUUCUUUUUUUUAUAUUUAUAGAUAUUUGACCGACAUCAUUUUGGUCAGGGUUGAUUUUUGUUUGAAUUUGAUAGUUCAUGUAGUUUAUUUGAAACAAAUAUUAACCUGGGAUGAAAUAAGCACGGUAACAAAAUUCAGGUAGAAAGUGGCGCGACGGAAAUUGUUGAGGUUAGAAUUGAUUCUUCUCCCCGUUUCCACCAGGCCCGAGUUGGUAUAUUUGAUUUGACUUUACUUGAUUUAAUUAAUAUAUUGGUUAAACAAAAUUCUAAUUAUUAAUCUGUUUAACGUUUUUUCAUAUAAUGAUUUACGAUGAUUUAUGAUGUACGUCUAGUUAGGGUUCUAGGUUAAUUUUUCCUUUUUGCUUGCAUCCUAUAAUUAAGCACUACACUACUUGAACUGGUUGCUGAUCUGAAGUUUAGUUUGAUUAACCUUCUAAAUGUGAGUUAGUACUAGAGUUUAAAAUUUAACUUAAGCUCCUGCCACUUUUUAAAUUUAGUGCACCACCAAAAGUUAGUAAAAAAAAAAGUUCUGCUAAAUGCUAAAGCCUAUCGCAUAUUAUUUUUUUCAAAAUAUAUAAUCAGUGAAAGAAAACAAUACAUUCAAAAGAAUUAGUUAUUAAUUUUAGUGCUUGGUGCUAGGCCUGAAACUUUUAUCCGAGAUCCGGAUUCGAUCCGAGGUCCGAUCUGAAUUCAAUCCGAAAAUCCGGAUAUCCGGAGGGGCCGAAUCCGGAUCCGGAUAGUAAAAUAUUGGAUCCAUCAAAGCCGGAUUCGGAUCCGGACAUCUUGAUUUUUAGUCUGGAUAUCUGUAUCUGGAUAUUACAAUUUUUAGAAGGAUAUCCGACGCCCGGAUAUCCGAAAACCUCGGAUCCGGAUAAGGAUAAUAAAAUUAUGGAACCGCCGGAUAAGGAUCCGUAUACCUUAAAAUUGUCAGGAUACCCGAUCCGUCACAGGCCUACUUGGUGCAACAUAAUCAGUGGUUGGUCUGAUGGUCGAACUAUCUCUGGUGAUUUUUUCGGCAACUUUUCCGUUGGUUUGUUGUGUCUCUAACUUUUUUUUAUGCAUGUGCAUACUUGAACUGAUUUUGUCUGUUUUCCUUAUGUGCUCUUCUGAUUACAUCUCAAAAGUGGUCGUAAAGAUCAAUGUUAAAGGGGUCAAUUAAAUGUUCAGCAUAUGAAUGGUGAUUGGUAUCUAGUGUUUGUAGGCUUCUUGUUUCCGCAUCCAACUACAUACCAAUUAUCCUUCUUCACAAGAAAAGUUAUACUUGUUGACUUGAUCCGAGGCCUAUAUUGCAUACCUAUUUCGAAGGAAUUGUUAAUCUUUUUAUUUAAAAUGUUGUUUUCAGUAUUUUCUCGGUAGGGAAGUCGUGAACACAAAAGCCAACAUUUGUGAUCUUUACUUCUUUGCUUAAAAUAUGCAUCGCCUGAAAAAAGGAAUACUGUUAGCUGAGAUAUCAUUUGCGAAAAGAUUAUGGUGGUGACUUGAAGUAAUUAUGCCCGUUAAACAUAUUUGUCUCCGGAUAAAAGAUGACGGUCAAAUCUUUGUAUAUUGAAAAAUAUUUUUAUUUUUGGACUGAUGUAGCUAUUAUCUUUUUCUAAAAGAUGUACGUUUAAUUGAUUUUAUAAAUACUAAAAAUAGAUUAAAUUUUAAUACUAAAUAUCUUAUUUUACGUAAUUAUUAUUUUUAACUAAUAGUGCUAAUAAGUAUAAUUAAUAUUUUUAAGUUUGUAACUUAUCAUAAUUAACUAAUAAAAAUAUAUAAAAGCAUAAAACAUAAUUUUAAAGAGCAAUUUAAAAAAAAUAUUUCUAGUACAGAGGGAUUAAUAUAUAUAUAUCAAAAACCAAACAAAUUGUAAUUAACAAUGAAAAUGGCCAUUCGUCUAGUUGUAAACCUGUAGUGAGUGGAGAAAGAUUUUUUUCUUACUUUAAUGUGAUUCGUGUCUGUAAAAGAUGUCCAAGGAUUCGGUGAUGUGAUCAUGUGGAACGAGGGGGCACCAGCCCUUUCCCAGCUUUAAUUAUUUUGCAUGAUUAGUUCUCAAAAUAAUAUAGUAGCUAUAAGAUUACAGUAGUCUGACUAAUCAUACGUGUAGGUUGUCAGAGAAAAAGAGUCUAAUCAUACGUGUAGGUUGUCAAAAAGAUAUUUUACGUUGUCUUCUCUUGGGUUUGCAUCAUUUUGCAUUUGAAAUUUUAUAUGAGAGAGGAUUUGUGUAAGCACAUUAUUAUUAUUUUGUCAGCAUAUUAUAUUAUAAGUAUUUUUUCUAUUUUGAAUAACUAUAUUCUAAAUUUUCCUUAAGUUUAUAUAAAGCUCGAUUGUCAAGUGUUGUAAAACUGUAUACAGAAUUUCUGUUUUUUUCUUUUUAUAAAAUGACAAAUCUAUUCUAUUAAAAAUGAGUCAUUAUAUAACCAUGUAAUUAGUUACUAAGAGACAAGAGAGGAUGGUGAUUAGCCAGAGAGUUUUGAAACAGGUUGCAGCAGUUCCGGUUGUCUUAUCCAUCAUUUGUUAUUUUUUCUGGCCAUCAAUCAUUGUGUUGGACCACCUAAAGGGCACGAAAGACGUUCUCCAAGUGACUAAGACAAUUCCUCUCCGUGGCGGUGGACCAGAGAGUUUAGAGUUUAGUUAUAGUUUGAUUUACAAGGUGAAUUGAAGACCCUUAUCUAGGAGUCACAGACGGUCACAUCCUUAAAUGGCGAGGCGAAGAGCUAGGCUGGGUUGAGUUCGCGUACACUUCUCCUCACAUGUUCAAUCCUAACAAAAAAAAAGUGCCAACCUUCCUAUGUUAUCAUUAUUCCAUGUUUACUGGUCCAAUGAUUUUUUCAUUAAUGUUCAACAAAUCACUAUGUGUUAAUUAAGCGUUUAUAGUGGAUUAAUGUCUAAAUAAACACCUAAACCUUAUCUAAACCGAUUUUAAAAAAUCGUUUAAGAAUCAUUUUGUUUAUGAACGAUCUUUUUAAAAUUGAUUUAUUAGAACAUUGAUUUUCAUUAACCUUCCUACUGAAUCUGACCCAUUUUCUUUUUGGUCAGUAAAUAGAUAAUUGUUCUAGGCAUAAAGUAGUUCCAAGUUGGGGGAGACCAUUGGGACUUAGCUUCCAUAAGAAAACCUGAGAUUUCUACUUUUGUGAUGGUUACUUUUGUAAGUAAAAAAAACACGUUUUACGUGUUGGUCAGCAUGGACGGUGACGGCAUGGACGGUGAGCUGAAAUUGUUGACGUUGGUUUUGUCAAAGAUUGUGAGCUCACCAAACACCUUCUUCAUGUUUAUAAAAGGAGAGCUAAGGAGAAGAAGAAAUGUAUCCCAAAAACAAGAAAACAGAGAGAGAACGAGAGAAGAGACGAGAAGAGAAGAAGAAAAAAAAAAGUUUUUUUUCUCACAAAAAAAUCUUCUUUAAGAAAUUACGAGUAAUUUCUGAGUGUAUUUGGGAUCGGGGUGUGAGUUGUGAGCUUGUAAAAUUUCUCUGGUUGAUAAUAAAAGAUCUGUAGCAGGUCCGGAGACGUAGGCAACAUUGGCCGAACUCCGUUAACAAUUUUGUGUGUGUGCUUCUUUCCCGCUCCUAUAAAUUCUGGUUUACCGCAAAAUUUGACCGCAUAUUUCCUAACAACUGGUAUCAGAGCUUGAGUUACGGUGAUCGGUCAAAUUUUUUGCGGAGUUACUAUUCACGGUAACAUCGGUUUGUCGACGAAGGUGUUCUAAUACACGGUGGUUCCAGAAACGAUGGGAGGCGAAGACGGUUUGGCGCACAGUAUCGGGAAAUUUGACGGUACAGAUUAUGCAUUUUGGAGAAUGCAAAUUGAAGAUUAUCUGUACGGAAAGAAGCUUCAUCAACCGCUGAGCAAGAAGCCUGAGAAGAUGGAUCAGGAUGAGUGGGAGCUCCUUGACAGACAAGUUCUGGGUGUUAUAAGGUUAACACUGUCGAAAAACGUUGCUCACAACGUUGCGAAGGAGAAGACCACGGAAGGGCUCAUGAAAGUUCUCUCUGAUAUGUAUGAGAAACCUUCGGCAAACAAUAAGGUAUUUCUCAUGAAGAAACUCUUUCAUUUGAAGAUGGAAGAAGGUGGCCUGGUUGCCGCACAUGUGAACGAGUUCAACACGAUUGUCAACCAACUGUCAUCGGUUGAAAUCGAGUUUGAAGAUGAAGUGCGAGCACUGAUUUUGUUGGCAUCUCUGCCAAAUAGUUGGGAGCCAAUGAGGGCAGCGGUUAGUAAUUCUGUGGGUACUCAAAAGCUCAAAUUCAAUGAUGUUAGAGAUCGUAUCCUUGGUGAGGAAGUUCGAAGGAUAGACUCUGGGGAGGCAUCAACGAGCUCUGCUUUCAACGUGGAAAACAGAGGGAGAAACCCAGAUAGAAAUAACCGGAGUAAUGGCAGAUCGAAGUCAAGGAAUGGACGGGGUCAGUCCAAAUUCAGACAGCCUGCAGAGUGCUGGAAUUGUGGAAAGACAGGUCACAUUAAGAAGAAUUGCCGAGCACCACCGAAGAAGGAAGACAACACUAGAGGCGGAGCCAAUGUAGUGACACGUGAAAUCGCUGAUGCAUUGGUAGUGUCUGUUGAUUCCCCGAGGAAAAUUGAAGCUCGUGAUGCAACUGCAAAUACCACCAAAGCGUCAAUCUCCUAUGUCGAUAGCCCAGUUGAUUCAUGGGUGCUUGACUCAGGAGCGUCGUUCCACACCACACCGCACCAUAACAUCAUGGAAAAUUAUGUUGCGGGAAAUUACGGAAAGGUAUAUCUUGCUGAUGGAUUACCUUUGGACAUAGUUGGUAUUGGAGAUAUCAACCUGAAAAUGUCAGACGGACGUGUGUGGAAGAUUACCAAGGUCAGACAUGUGCCAAAGUUGAUGCGAAAUCUGAUUUCAGUAGGUCAACUUGAUGAUAUGGGGCACGAUGUUAAUUUUGGUGGUGGAGCCUGGAGAGUCAAGAAAGGUUCCAUGGUGGUGGCUAGAGGUCAUAAAAGAGGCACUCUUUAUAUGACGACGAGUUAUCAAGACACUGUUGCUGUUGUCGAGAAUGCCAAACAUACCAAGUUGUGGCAUUGUAGGUUGGGGCACAUGAGUGAGAAAGGGAUGAAACUCAUGGUGGAAAAUGGUGCUCUUCCGGAUCUGAAGACGGUGGAUCAUCAGAUGUGUGAAAGUUGCAUCCUUGGGAAACAGAAACGAGUUAGUUUCUCUAAAGGAGGAAGAGAGCCAAAAUCUGAGAAGUUAGAGCUGGUGCACACUGACGUGUGGGGACCCGCUCCUGUUGCAUCGCUGGGAGGUUCGUACUACUAUGUGACCUUUAUUGAUGACUCCACAAGAAAAGUGUGGGUUUACUUCAUGAAGAACAAGCAUGAAGUGUUUUCGGUUUUCAAAAUAUGGAAAGCCAUGGUUGAGAUUGAGACGAAUCUCAAGUUGAAGUGUUUAAGGUCUGAUAAUGGUGGAGAGUACAUCAGCGGCGAGUUCAAGAGAUAUUGCGCUGAUAAUGGGAUCAAGAUGGAAAAGACUAUUCCUGGAACGCCUCAACAGAAUGGAAUAGCGGAAAGGAUGAACCGAACCUUGAAUGAGCGUGCAAGGAGCAUGAGAUUGCACUGUGGAUUGCCAAAGACGUUUUGGGCAGAUGCAAUCAAUACCGCAGCCUUCUUAAUAAACAGAGGACCGUCUGUACCGUUGGGAUUUAAGAUCCCUGAAGAAGUUUGGAGCGGAAAGAAAGUAAAUCUUUCUUAUCUAAAGGUGUUCGGAUGCUUAGCUUAUGUUCAUAUUGAUGAUGCUGCAAGAAGUAAACUUGACUCGAAGUCUAAGAAGUGUUACUUCAUCGGUUAUGGUAACGCGGAGUUUGGUUACCGGUUUUGGGAUGAUGAAAAUCGGAAGAUCAUCCGCAGCAAGAAUGUUGUGUUCAACGAAGAAGCGUUGUACAAGGAUAAGCUAAGAGAAGGCUCGGAGAAGAAAGAGCCUGGAGCUGUUGACUUAGAAGAUAUCCUGACACCGGAGUUGCCACAGGAUACCGCAACAGCAGAAGAAGAAAUCUCUCAAGACGAGAGUGGUGAGGCUGAAGAAAGUGAUGAUUCUGAAGUGGUCCCAUAUACACCAGUCACGGAGUUACGACGGUCAAGCAGAAUCAUCAGAAAGCCAGUAAGAUUCUCUCCAUCGCUCAACUACAUUCUGCUCACAGACAGAGGCGAGCCUGAAUGUUAUGAGGAAGCUAUGCAAGUUGAUGAGUCGAUCAAGUGGGAGCUUGCAAUGAACGACGAGAUGGACUCGUUGUUAUCCAAUCACACGUGGGAGUUAGCAGAUUUGCCUAAGGAGAAAAAGGCAUUGCAUAACAAGUGGGUCUACCGAAUAAAAGAAGAACCUGAUGGGAGUAAGCGCUAUAAAGCGAGGCUUGUUGUGAAGGGAUUCCAACAAAAAGAAGGCGUUGACUACACUGAAAUCUUCUCUCCUGUAGUCAAGAUGGUGACCAUCAGAACGGUUCUUGGGCUGGUAGCACAAGAAGAUCUGCAUCUUCAACAGAUGGAUGUGAAGACGGCAUUUCUUCACGGUGAUUUGGAUGAGGAAAUUUAUAUGAAGCAACCCGAAGGCUUUGAGAUCAAAGGGAAGGAAAGCCUUGUUUGCAAGCUGAAAAGGAGUUUGUACGGCUUAAAACAAGCUCCAAGACAGUGGUAUAAACGGUUCGACAACUUUAUUAAAGGCGUUGGUUUCUUGAGGUGUGAAGCUGACCACUGUUGUUACUUCAAGACGCUUGAAGAGUCCUACUUGAUAUUGCUCCUAUAUGUCGAUGACAUGCUGAUAGUAGGAGCAGACUUGCACGAGAUCAAUAGCUUGAAGACGAAACUCUCAGAAGAGUUUGCGAUGAAAGACCUUGGAGAAGCAAGACAGAUUCUAGGGAUGAGAAUCAGUAGGAGCAAGGAAGGUCUUAAGCUAUCACAAGAGGAGUAUGUGAAGAAAGUCCUCAAGAGGUUUAACAUGGAUGACGCGAAGCCAGUUAGUACUCCCCUGGCAAGUCACUUUCGGUUAUCCAGAGAACAGUCUCCAAAGACGGAAGACGAGAUGGCAUGUAUGGAUAAAGUUCCAUAUGCUUCUGCUAUAGGAAGCCUGAUGUACGCGAUGAUAUGUACAAGGCCAGACAUUGCACAUGCAGUGGGAGUCGUUAGCAGAUUUAUGAGCAAUCCAGGGAAGGAACAUUGGGAAGCCGUUAAGUGGAUUUUCAGAUAUCUAAAAGGAAAUCCAAGUUUAUCGCUAUGUUUCACGAAGUCUAAGACGGGAUUGCAGGGAUAUGUUGAUGCUGACAAUGGAGGUGACAUUGACAGCACGAAGAGCACAACCGGGUAUGUCUACACCUUUGGCGGUACUGCAAUUUGUUGGGUUUCAAAGUUGCAGAAAAUUGUAUCUCUAUCAAGCUGUGAAGCUGAGUAUGUUGCUGUAACGGAGGCAACAAAAGAGAUGAUAUGGCUACAGUCUUUUCUAGAAGAGCUAGGCCAUGACCAAGGGAAAGGUGUGUUGUACUGUGACAGUAAAAGUGCCAUCGAUUUGGCAAAGAAUCCGGUUUACCAUGCUCGGACGAAGCACAUACAUCGUCGGUAUCAUUUCAUCAGAUCAGCGUUGGAAGAUGAAAUGUUGGUGCUUGAGAAGAUCCCAGGAAGCAAGAAUCCGGCAGACAUGUUGACGAAGGUCGUGCCGUAUGAUAAGCUGAGGUUGUGUGCAACCUCAGUUGGCUUGUUGGAGUAACAAGCUGGGGAGACCUGCUACAUCGAUCAAUGUGUGAAGACAGAUUGAAAUCAGUCUUCAAGUGGGAGAUUGUAAGAAAAAAAAACACGUUUUACGUGUUGGUCGGCAUGGACGGUGACGGCAUGGACGGUGAGCUGAAAUUGUUGACGUUGGUCUUGUCAAAGAUUGUGAGCUCACCAAACACCUUCUUCAUGCUUAUAAAAGGAGAGCUAAGGAGAAGAAGAAAUGUAUCCCAAAAACAAGAAAACAGAGAGAGAACGAGAGAAGAGAAGAGAAGAGAAGAAGAAAAAAAAAAGUUUUUUUUUCUCACAAAAAAAUAUUCUUUAAGAAAUUACGAGUAAUUUCUGAGUGUAUUUGGGAUCGGGGUGUGAGUUGUGAGCCUGUAAAAUUUCCCUGGUUGAUAAUAAAAGAUCUGUAGCAGGUCCGGAGACGUAGGCAAUAUUGGCCGAACUCCGUUAACAAUUUUGUUUGUGUGCUUCUUUCCCGCUCCCAUAAAUUCUGGUUUACCGCAAAAUUUGACAGCAUAUUUCCUAACAACUUUGGGGUCAUGACUCAUGAAGGUUGGACCAGUAGGAGGCUUGGCCGAGUUAGUUGUUGAUGAAGCCGAUGGUCCCAAGGUCAUGUUUGCGUACCAAAUGGAUAUAGAUCAAGAAGACGUCUUCUAUUUUAGUGAUAGCAGCGAUAAAAAUCACUUCGAGUAAUUAAAACUACACCUUCGUUUAUUUACAUUUACAGUCCUAGUAUUUUCUCUGGUUGGUAACAUUAGCAGAACGUGAAAAACGGAUAAAUAAAUAAAAUCAAUAAUAAUAAUUUGUAAAAUAUAUUAGUAGCAUUGGGGAACCAUAAUGUGAUGUAGCUAAUAGAUCUAAACGUGAUUUUGAACAUAUAGACUUACUGGUUGAAUCCAGAAUAUUUAUUUACUGGGUGAAGUGUCGAUUAUAAAAUGGAAACAGUCGAAAGGUGCAUUCGAACUUGGGUUGUUAUGGUGCACUUGCACAAUACAACUUUUUCACCUGUUCUAACAGAAUUUAUUUGUUAUUUGACACGAAAAUUACAAUAUAAAUAAUUUGUUUUGGUGCACAUGCUCCAUUGAUCAUUUGUAAAACCUUUAAGUCAUUAUGUAACUAUCAUGUGUAUGUGUUUUUUAGUGCAAAUGUUAAGAAUGUUACGUUUGUUUUGUUGGACAGGCACGUAAUCUACGUUUACAUGUCCGGGGAGAAGACGGGAAGGGUGAUGAGAUAGUAAUCGCGUUAACGUUGGUCAACGAACCAGACCUGGUUUGCAGUGUUUCAUUGUUCUUUUAAUUAUUUAUUUUAAUGAGUAUAGUUGUUAAUAAUGGAAACUGAUUCUUCCUAAUGUUUAGGAACUUAAUCAUCCCACGUUUCCCAUUUCAUCGUUGUAUAGGGAUCAUGAUCCCACAAUUGCUUCUUGUAACUUUUAUCUAUUUAAAUCAAUGCAAACAACAAAAAGAGGUAGUCAUAACUACACAAAAGAAAAGCGUGUUCUAGUCUGUUCUUAAUUUGUUCUUGAACAAAUUCUCUUUGAUUUGAAGAGAGACCUUAAUUGGUAUCAAAUCACAUGUUUCUAGAUCAACAUUGAUAUCUCUUGGCAAGGGACCUAUCAGUGGUAUCAGAGCAUGUUUUGUUUUUGAUCCGGACCACUUUGUGGUAUCAAAAACUUUAUAUUUUUCAUCUUCCUUGUUAUCGGUAUUCUUCAUGAAUCAACGGUUAUCAAGAAUCCUCGACGAACGGCCAUUCUCAGAAUCAACGAUUAUCGAGAUCUAUCCAGCGAUUUUUUUCUUUUUACCAUUUUCUUCUUUUCGGGUUUGUUGAUCAAGUUCAACAUCCUUUCAUUUGUUAUGGAUUAAAAUCUGUAAUUCUUCCAUUGUUUUUCAGUUUUCAAAAAAAAAAAGAUUUCAUCUUUCUUGUCAUUUAAAAGAAAAAGAAAAAAAAACAGUUUUAUUCUAAUAAGGAAACAAGCUUGGUCUGGGUCUUUGAAGUUGUAAUGCGUUGAAAGACAUCUACUGGCAAGAAAAAUCAACAUGGAAGAAAGAGAAGCAACUCAAGUCAAGCUUUCCUCAGUUCAUCACAAACCUUGAGGACAAGGUUCUUUGACGGCCGGAGUAUUGAUGAGAUAGUAAUCGCGUUAACGUUGGUCAACGAACCGGACCUGGUUUUCAGUGUUUCAUUGUUCUUUUAAUUAUUUAUUUUAAUGAGUUUAGUUGUUAAUAAUGGAGACUGAUUCUUCCUCAUGUUUAGGAACUUAAUCAUCCCACGUUUCCUAUUUCAUCGUUUUAUAGGGAUCAUGAUCCCACAAUUGCUUCUUGUAACUUUUAUCUAUUUAAAUCAAUGCAAAUAACAAAAAGAGGUAGUCAUAACUACCCAAAAGAAAAGCGUGUUCUAGUGUGUUCUUAAUUUGUUCUUGAAUAAAUUCUCUUUGAUUUGAAAAGAGACCUUAAUUGGUAUCAAAUCACAUGUUUCUAGAUCAGCAAUAGAUUAUCCUAUAACUGGGACCUAUCAAAAGGUUAUUAGAUACGAUAUGAAGAAGAAAGAGGCCACAGUUGUAAUGGACAAACUUUUUCUUUUUUUGGUGAUAGUAAUGGACAAACUUCAUUUACCCAAUGGUUUAGAUCGUUUGUACUCACAUGUGAAAGUGUUACAAAUACUAUCCAUAGAAUAUGGGUCAAGGAUCCAAUAGCCGGGCCAACGAGGUUUUCACAAAGAUCCCGGGUCCUAUGGACAAUAUCCGGCGCACGCCUAUGGGAGAUUUAAGGGUCGCAUUGCAUUCCAAAGACAGUUUGUUCACUCGUAGUUCGUAUUCUGAUUCCGGUUCGAACCGGGAAGCGGACGUCCGAUGAAGUUUCCGUGCAACGUAGCUCUCAGUGAGUCGGCCACUGAGUUAAAUGUAAAAACAAACCAAAUUGAUGAGAUAGUAAUCGCGUUAACGUUGGUCAACGAACCGGACCUGGUUUGCAGUGUUUCAUUGUUCUUUUAAUUAUUUAUUUUAAUGAGUUUAGUUGUUAAUAAUGGAGACUGAUUCUUCCUAAUGUUUAGGAACUUAAUCAUCCCACGUUUCCCAUUUCAUCGUUGUAUAGGGAUCAUGAUCCCACAAUUGCUUCUUGUAACUUUUAUCUAUUUAAAUCAAUGCAAACAACAAAAAGAGGUAGUCAUAACUACCCAAAAGAAAAGCGUGUUCUAGUGUGUUCUUAAUUUGUUCUUGAACAAAUUCUCUUUGAUUUGAAGAGAGACCUUAAUUGGUAUCAAAUCACAUGUUUCUAGAUCAACGUUGAUAUCUCUUGGCAAGGGACCUAUCAGUGGUAUCAGAGCAUGUUUUGUUUUUGAUCCGGACCACUUUGUGGUAUCAAAAACUUUAUAUUUUUCAUCUUCCUUGUUAUCGGUAUUCUUCAUGAAUCAACGGUUAUCAAGAAUCCUCGACGAACGAUCAUUCUCAGAAUCAACGAUCAUUGAGAUCUAUCCAGCGAUUUUUUCUUUUUACCAUUUUCUUCUUUUCGGGUUUGUUGAUCAAGUUCAACAUCCUUUCAUUUGUUAUGGAUUAAAAUCUGUAAUUCUUCCAUUGUUUUUCAGUUUUCAAAAAAAAAAAAUUUCAUCUUACUUGUCAUUUAAAAGAAAAGCAAAAAAAAACAGUUUUAUUCUAAUAAGGAAACAAGCUUGGUCUGGGUCUUUGAAGUUGUAAUGCGUUGAAAGACAUCUACUGGCAAGAAGAAUCAACAUGGAAGAAAGAGAAGCAACUCAAGUCAAGCUUUCCUCAGUUCAUCACGAACCUUGAGGACAAGGUUCUUUGACGUCCGGAGUAUUGAUGAGAUAGUAAUCGCGUUAACGUUGGUCAACGAACCGGACCUGGUUUGCAGUGUUUCAUUGUUCUUUUAAUUAUUUAUUUUAAUGAGUUUAGUUGUUAAUAAUGGAGACUGAUUCUUCCUAAUGUUUAGGAACUUAAUCAUCCCACGUUUCCCAUUUCAUCGUUGUAUAGGGAUCAUGAUCCCACAAUUGCUUCUUGUAACUUUUAUCUAUUUAAAUCAAUGCAAACAACAAAAAGAGGUAGUCAUAACUACACAAAAGAAAAGCGUGUUCUAGUCUGUUCUUAAUUUGUUCUUGAACAAAUUCUCUUUGAUUUGAAGAGAGACCUUAAUUGGUAUCAAAUCACAUGUUUCUUGAUCAGCAAUAGAUUAUCCUAUAACUGGGACCUAUCAAUUGGUAUCAAUUGGAAAAGAAAAAAAAACAGUUUUAUUCUAAUAAGGAAACAAGCUUGGUAUGGGUCUUUGAAGUUGUAAUGCGUUGAAAGACAUCUACUGGCAAGAAAAAUCAACAUGGAAGAAAGAGAAGCAACUCAAGUCAAGCUUUCCUCAGUUCAUCACAAACCUUGAGGACAAGGUUCUUUGACGGCCGGAGUAUUGAUGAGAUAGUAAUCGCGUUAACGUUGGUCAACGAACCGGACCUGGUUUGCAGUGUUUCAUUGUUCUUUUAAUUAUUUAUUUUAAUGAGUUUAGUUGUUAAUAAUGGAGACUGAUUCUUCCUAAUGUUUAGGAACUUAAUCAUCCCACGUUUCCUAUUUCAUCGUUGUAUAGGGAUCAUGAUCCCACAAUUGCUUCUUGUAACUUUUAUCUAUUUAAAUCAAUGCAAAUAACAAAAAGAGGUAGUCAUAACUACCCAAAAGAAAAGCGUGUUCUAGUGUGUUCUUAAUUUGUUCUUGAAUAAAUUCUCUUUGAUUUGAAAAGAGACCUUAAUUGGUAUCAAAUCACAUGUUUCUAGAUCAGCAAUAGAUUAUCCUAUAACUGGGACCUAUCAAAAGGUUAUUAGAUACGAUAUGAAGAAGAAAGAGGCCACAGUUGUAAUGGACAAACUUUUUCUUUUUUUGGUGAUAGUAAUGGACAAACUUCAUUUACCCAAUGGUUUAGAUCGUUUGUACUCACAUGUGAAAGUGUUACAAAUACUAUCCAUAGAAUAUGGGUCAAGGAUCCAAUAGCCGGGCCAACGAGGUUUCACAAAGAUCCCGGGUCCUAUGGACGGGAAGGGUUAUUAGAUACGAUAUGAAGAAGAAAGAGGCCACAGUUGUAAUGGACAAACUUUUUCUUUUUUUGGUAAUAGUAAUGGACAAACUUCACUUACCCAAUGGUUUAGAUCGUUUGUACUCACAUGUGAAAGUGUUACAAAUACUAUCCAUAGAAUAUGGGUCAAGGAUCCAAUAGCCGGGCCAACGAGGUUUUCACAAAGAUCCCGGGUCCUAUGGACAAUAUCCGGCGCACGCCUAUGGGAGAUUUAAGGGUCGCAUUGCAUUCCAAAGACAGUUUGUUCACUCGUUUGUUUCGGAGUCACUCUUUGGUCGAAAAGUUUUUCCAUCAAGACGUUGAAGGUGGAGAGUGCGAUUCAUCUCAUUAAUGGAGGGAAACCUCAUGGAAUUGUUGUCAAACUCUCUGGAGAGACAUGACUGCAAGGGCGGAUCUAGAACUAUUUUCUACCCAAGGCACAACAUCAUUUAUAACUGAACUCAUUUAUAAAAUAAAGUUUUUGAAAUAAAGAUAAAACAUCUUACAAAUUUGUCCUACGAGAUUCAAUAUUUUUGUAUUUUUUAUCACAACUUCAUUUGUUACUUUAUCAAAUAACUAUUUUCAACCAAACAAACAACACAAUCAUUUAAAAACAGAUUACUUAUCCAGUUCCACAAGCUAGUCUUCACUAUCUUCAUCGCAAAAGAACAUCUUUCAAUUGUAGUGGUGGCAACAAGUAAAGUCAAAGCUAGUUAAAAGACAAUAAACCAGAGGAUGUGAAAGAUGUUCUUUGUCUCUACCAUCAUAUACAUGCAAGAUCUCCAAGAUCCUUCAACUUAGAAAAUCUUUCAUCUUCACAGAUGUUAUCAAUAUAGAGACCAAGUUGAUGUUCAAGAGUCAUCCGCUCGAUAGAACUAAAAUCUUCAGGAUAAAAGUCAGACAAUCUCAUAACUUUCAAUUGAUCAAACUCACGAAAUGAAUCCAUGGGGAUCAUAGAAUCCAUGCAACCAAGUAAUUCAGUGUUUACCACAUCAAAACGUCAUUAAACUCCAAAACUUUCAUAUCAAACAUAGUGUAAAAGCAUUCCACUUUGUAAUGAUGCAAACUGGUUAUAUUGUUUUUUUCUUGGAUUAUAUGAAUCAAAUUCAGCAUCCAUAACCAGCAACUCAGUCUUGUAAUUAUCACAAAAGGAAAUUUUUUUUGUUGAUUAGAGAUACCCAUCCAUUUUCUCUGCGCUUAUACAAUUGCUAUUUGUAGAUUUCACAAGCGACAUAUCAUUCAGAAUAUCCUGAUCUUUCUUUUGAAGAGCCUUUGAUAAACUAUUUGUGAUUCUAAGAAUAAGCAACAUCAACCGUAACUUAGCACAAUUCUAUAUUUUAUGAAUUAUCACGAUUCUUGUUGUUUAGAUAAUAUAAAUAAAAAAUUUCAUUUAUUUUUACCUUUUAGGUCUUUUGUUGAACUCGUUAUACGCAACCUUUGUGUUUGCUUGGGCGAAUAUUUUUUGUAGUUAUGAGAGAAUUUAAUUCUAUACUAUAUAAAAGUUAAGACUAUAAGCCAUCGAAUGCGCCCACGUAGGAUUUUAAACAAUCAACUGUAUUACGACAAAUCACAUUUUUAAUUUGCUAUUUCUAAAAAUGUUAAUAUUACCAAAAAAAUGAUUUAUUUCAAAAUAAAAUUUAAAUCGAUAUCAAAGAAGAUAAAUUUACAAAAUAUAAACAUUUUAACUAAAUUAACUUAAUUAUAACAGUAUAAUUUUUGAAUUUUAAAAUCUAAUUAACUAAUGAAAGUAGUAACUAAUUCAAAAAUGCAAUUUUUUUUGAAUAAUUAUAAAAAUAAAGUUGAGGUCGUAAGCCAUUGAAGGCGUCCACGUAGGAUUUUAUACAAUCAACCAUAUUACGACAAAUCAUAUUUUUAAUUUUCUAUUUCUAAAAAUGUCAAUAUUACCAAAAAAUCAUUUAUUUCAAUAUAAAAUUUAAAUAGAUAUCAAAGAAGAUAAAUUUACAAAAUAUAAACAUUUUAACUAAAUUAACUUAAUUAUAACAGUAUAAUUUUUGAAUUUUAAAAUCUAAUUAACUAAUUUAAGUUGUAACUAAUUCAAAAAUGCAAUUUUUUUGAAUAAUUAUAAAAAUAAAGUUGAGGUCGUAAGCCAUUGAAGGCGUCCACAUAGGAUUUUAUACAAUCAACCAUAUUACGACAAAUCAUAUUUUUAAUUUUCUAUUUCUAAAAAUGUCAAUAUUACCAAAAAAUCAUUUAUUUCAAUAUAAAAUUUAAAUAGAUAUCAAAUAAGAUAAAUUUAAAAAAUAUAAACCUUAUAAAUAAAUUAACUUAAUUAUAACGGUAUAAUUUUCAAAAUUUAAAUCUAAUUAACUAAUGAAAGUAGUAACUAAUUCAAAAAUGCAAAAGAUUGAAUAAUUAUAAAAAUAUAAAUUUAACACAUGAUUCUCAAAAUUUAGGUUAUAUGUGUUAAUGAAAAUAUUCACAAAUAAUUUUUAUACUAUAUAAAAAUUGAAACUGUAAGCUAUUGAACUUGUUCACAUCAAAACAACCAAUGAUGUUAUGACAAAUCUUCAUUUUAAUUUAACAUUUUUAAAAAUAUAAAUAUUUCCAAAAAUUGCAUAUUUAAAAAUAAAAUAAAAUUAUAUAUCAAAUACGUCAAACUAAAAAAAUUAAAAACAAUAUAAAUAAAUUUAAAAUAAUAUGUAUAAUAUUUCGAAUUUUAACAUAAAAUAAUAUGUAUAAUAUUUCGAAUUUUAACAAAAAUUUCAAAGUGUAGGGUAUAUGCUUGAUAAUAUUAACUUAAGGUAAAUCAUAUUAAAUAUCUAUUAUAAAUUUUCUAACAUUAACUUAAGUAUAAACUCUAAUAUUAAACUUUGAAGAAUAUCACUACAGCCUGAAUGAUAAACCUGAUAUGGGCAAUAGAAAAUAUUCUUUUAUUAAGAUAAUAAUAUGUUAUCUAAAGUUGCUGAUAAAAAAAAACUAAAAACAAUAAAAUUUUCCAAAUUAUAACAGUUAAAAAUGUCAACGUUUUCUAUGAAAUCUGUUAAAUUUUUAUUGGAAGUAGAAACUAUUCCAAUGAUAGUUUUGAAAAGGUAUUACAAUGAUAAAUCAAACAAACAUUAUUUAGCUUAUCAUAAAUUUAUAUUUAAUUUUUAUAUCAAAUCUAUUUUAAAGAAUUAUAAGUAACAUAAGCCUUACUACUAUUAUAUACAGUUAUUAGAUCAUGUAGAAGUGAAAUCUAACACUAUAUUUUCUUUAUAUUAAUAUCUAACUAAAUAAAAUAUUAUUUAACAUUAGUUAAAAUGAAUUAUAUUUAUUUUUAUUAUAAAAUUAUUUAACAAAAGUUAUUUAAAAUUAGUUAAAGCUCAUAAAAUAGUAAUGAUGAUUAAAUUUUAAAUCUUAAUUUUCUACUAUUACAUAUUGUUUAGAAAUAAGAAAAACUGCAUGAAAUACAAACACCACUAUUCAAAAAUACUUUAACUUUGGGUUAUGGUUUAAUGAUUAUUUUUUGGUUUAGUAUAUAGGGGGUGGGGUUGAGUUUAUAAACUUCUAUAAUAAUUUUAAACAUUUAUAAAUGAUUUAUAAAGGUUAAUUUUCUCUUUUAACAAUAAACGUAAGUACGUAAGUUAUUUAUGAAACUAAUUAUUAUUUAAAGAUAAAUUUAGAAGUUGUAUCAAAUUUGAAGUAAAUUUAUUAAUCCCCUUGGAAUAAUUAAAGAAAUGUUUUUAAAGUUUCUAUUUAAACACAAUAUAUAUAACCCACACAUUCAUUGUACAAAAAAUUCAAAAAAACAAAAGAAAAUUAAAUAUUAUGCCGUAGAUAUUUCAUUUAUGUUUUUCAAAUAAAAAAUAGCAUUGUAUAUAAAUCGAGAAAUUUAUAUAAUAUUAAAAUUUUAAAUUUUUAGUUUUCUAUAAAAAUAUAAAUACGUUAAUAGUUGUAAUUUAUAUUCUUUUAAUACAAAUAAAUAAAUAUCUAAGUAAUAAUUUUUCUAAAUGUAUAAACAAAUAUAAAUAGGAAAAAAGUAAAAAAAAAUAUUUUCAUUAUAUUUAUAAAAAAAUAUGCAUAAAUGAAUUAUAUUUAUCUUUUAAAAGUAUUACAAAACUAAAUUAUUAAUAAAGCAAACUAAACUAAAUUAAUAAAAUCUAGUUUGUAGAAAAAGAAGACAAAAAUAAACGUGGGCUUAUAGCUAGGUCAAAAUUUUAACUUUCUUAAUUAAUUUUCAUUGUUUUCUGAAUGGGGUUUUCCCAAAGGAGUUUUCCGUAUUUCGACCCGAAAAUCUAAGAGAGGCAUUACUGUUGAGAUUCUGACCAAAAAAUUAGACAUUUCAUGCCCAAUUUGAUGGAAAUUCCGGGUCGAAGAAGAGACAGAUCAACAUACGGCACAGAAAAACUCAAAUCGAUAUAAAUGGAAAAUGUCUCUGAAACUAGUAUAUCGGUCAAUCGAUGGAAUCAUCUACGCCCCAAAAUAAAACUUACUUUUAUUUUUUAUUUUUGGCUAAGAAGAUAUGUGAUUGUAUAAAAUUGUGUUUAUAUUUUUAUGUUGACGGGAACACACUUUAUUAUUCUAUUUACACAAUUAUAUUUUAACUAGAUAUAUAUAUUGUUUUUAAGUAGGGCCACGUGCCCGUAGUUAACCUUGUACAUCCGCCCAUGCACGAUUAUAUUUAACUAGAUAAAUAAAUAAAUAAAUAAAUAAAAGUUUUUUUUUAUUAAUAAAAUUACUUUUUUAUACAUGGUUAAAUGUGAUUUCAGCUAUGUUACAUGGAAACGGAAGCUGGUACGUGGAAGCGGAAGCGUAAGGAAGCGUAGAAGCGAGAUUUUUUAAAAUAUUAGGAAGCGGGUACGUGUUGGAAGCGUAUAUCUAUAUCUAUAUAUAUAUAUAAUUUUUUAAAAAGGUAGUAUGGGGCACAUGCUCCCGUAGUCAAUCUUGUACAACCGCCUCUCUUCUUGAGAUAGUUGAGGACAGUGAAGGGAAGACGAUGAAGUAUGUUAGUGAAGCUUACGAAAGCGAAGAUGGCAAGUUAUGGAUUGGGUCUGUGUAUUGACCGGCCGUUUGGGUGAUUGAAAAUUUGUUUACGGUCUCAAAUGAGUUAGUAAACGCAAACAAAAAAUAAUAAUUUGGUGGUAUGAUAAUUUUUUUAUUCUUUUUUUUAUCGUUUCGUUCCGAAAGACCAGACUCAAAGCCAGGUGGCGGUACUCACAGCUGUGAACCAUUUACCACAAGAACCAGAGGCUCCGGUUAAUAAUUUGGUGGUAUGAUAUUUGUUUUCUUUUUUUCAAACUUGUUAGAAGACAUGCAUCUUUUUUUUUUUGAACAUAGAAGACAUGCAUCUUUUUUUUUAAAAAAAGAGAAGACAUGCAUCUUCUUUUGUAUCUUCUUGUUGUUGUGUGAGUGGACUUUGAUGCUGGAGAAAUUUGGUUCAGUUGAGUAGUUUAAUGUAGUUUUGUGGGAUUUUAUAAAUUUUGUCAAGUGAUUAAAACGAAAAUUGUGUUGUGUCCGACAUGAUGUCUUCGAGAAAUUUUGAUAAAAGUAUUAUAAACUCGACGACAAGGGGGAAGGUACCCAAGAAAUGCUCGUCUUGAUAACAAUGGCUAAGUUCUUUUUGACUGAACUUUUAAGUUCGUUAAACACUAUUCUAAUUAUUAAUUUAUUUUACCUUUCAUAUAACGAUGUACGAUCAUUUUCAUUCAAAAAGAUCAUUUAAUUAUGAUGUACAUCUAGUUAGGGUUCUAAUUUUUCCUUUUUGCUAGCAUCAUGUACGCACUGUUCUUGAACUGGUUUCUGAUCUGAAAUUGGUUUGAUUAACCUGCUAAAUGUGAAUUAGUACGAGAGUUUAAAAUGUAACUAAUUAAACUCUUGCAAUUUUUAAAUUUAAUGCAACCAAAGUUAGCAAAAAAAACACUGCUAAACUAAAGCCUUGGUAUUUUUUUAAAUUACAUAAUCAAUGACCGAAAACAACACAUUCAAAAGAAGUUGUUAUUACUUAUUAAUCCUUUUCAUACGAUGUGGACUGAUUGAGCUCUUUCUCCUCGCUUUAUAUACUACUCUAUCUAUUUCUAAAAAUGUAUGUUAAAUUGGUUUUACACAUAUUAAAUUUUAAUAGUAAACAUAUUAUUUUCUGUAAUUAUUAAUUUCAAAUAAUUUUAAAUAAUAGUAUUUUAAAAGUAUAAUUAAUAUUUUUGAAGUUCGUAAUUUAUCAUUUAUUAACUAAUUAAAAUAUCUAAAAUAUAAAAUAUAUUUUGAAACAACUUUCUUAUAAAACAUUUAUCUUUCUAAUACAGAUAGAUUAAUAUAUAUAAACAAACAAAUUGUAAUUAACAAUGAAAAUGGCCAUUCGUCUAGUUUAAACUUGUAGUGGAGAAAGAUUUUAUUCUUACUUUAAUGUGAUUCGUGUCGGUAAAAGAUGUCUAGUGUCCGGUGAUGUGAUCAUGUAGAACGAGAGGGAGCACCAGCCCUUUUCCCUUUCACAGCUUAGUUUAUCUUGCAUGAUUAGUUCUCAAAAUAUUAUAGUUUUUUUUAAACAGAUUUUUCAUAUUAGAAGGCUAGAAGCGGAAAGAAAUAAAAUGUCACGCCUUACGAGGCCUCAGUUUGUUUUUAGAGCCCAGUCCAGUUACAUAAUCUCAUAUCAAUAAUCAUAAGUUAACCAAUAAUAAACCCAAUAGAUUGGAAAGUUUGGAGCUUUGAUAAUACCGAACCGUCGGAAGAGUCGUGAUCGGCUUGAAGAGGAGUUGGUGGUGAACGGAGGAGUGGCGUAUACUAUCAACAAAAGGAGAGUGGGGAUCUUAACUCAGCCAUUGCUGCAUCAUAGUUGACAAUGCCGAAUGGUUUGUCUGUGAAGAUCCGAUCUCUUAUUUGUCUGUCAAAGAGGCGAGAAACCAAAUCAUAGUUGCCAUGAAAUUACAGUAUAUGUGUUUUUCUACAUCAUGCGCAGAAAUAAAAGUUUUAAAAUUUAAAUUAUAUUUACAACAAAAAUUAUUCGUUAAUUUUUAGAUUUUAUUAUUUGUUAAAAUAUUUAAUUUUAUAUUUUAAUUAAUUAUAUGUAAAAUUUAAGAUUAAAUUUUUUUUUUUUAAUUUAUAUUUAAUAAUAUAUGUGCAUAUUUAAAAUUAUAAUCUUGGAAAGAUUUUUUAUCUAUUUAUUUUGGUUGAAAUAUAUUAAAUCAAAUUCUAAAAAUUAAAAGAAAAUUUUGUCAGAUAUAAAAUUAUCAAAACGUAAAACUAAAUAAUAUUUAUAAAAAUUUAGAUAUUAAAAGAAACUAACGGUAUAAGGAUUAGAAAUUACAUUUUUUUAAAAAACUGCAUAAAGUUUCGAAAUUUUUUUUGUAAUUAAAAUUAUAUAAUUGUAAAAAUAAAAUAAAAAUAAUAUUUCAAAAAUUGUGAAAUAUUAUUAUAUUUCUAUUUAUACUAUUAUAGUAUGUAUUGUUAUAUUUAUUGAUGACGUAUGGGUUAUUAUCAUAUUUCAAAAUUUUAUCAAAAUUAUAAAUCAACAUUUAAUAUAAAUGUACCAUGUCAUCAUUGUUAAUAAACCAUGUCAUUAUUUUUCUUUCAAAAUUAAUGUGGUGAUGAUAAUGUCAAAUUACUUCAGAAAUAAUGUAUAAGAGAUAACUAAUCAUACGUGUAGGUUGUCAAAAAGAAACUAUUCAUACCUGUAGGCUGUCAAAAAUGAUAAUCGAAUUUAAAUAUAUGCAACACUGAGAAUAAUUAUUGAAUUUAAUUUUUGUAAUAAAAAUUAUUUCAAUUUGCAUGUAUGUAAAUUCGAUUUGUUCAUUCUAGAUAACAGAUAACCAGAUAAGAUCAAAACGCAUUUCUCUUGCCAUAGGAUAAGACUUGUGCCUGACGUUACAAGAGAAAUAUGCUUGGCUAUGUCAGAUUUGGACACUUUCCUUUUUUUAUACUCAGGUUUCAGAAACUACAACCUUCAAUAGUACAAAAAAGGGAACUUUUUUCUAUAAAUAAAAACGUUACAUUAGAUGAUUCCACAUGGAUUUCAUUCACUGUAUUCAUAUUUUACAGCUGAUACUUCGACAGAAAUGGCAAUACGUGUAUAUCGUUUCUGCAUCCACACAACAAAGAAAAAUCUACACUACUUUGUCCAUUUUCGUCUGAUUUAUAUAACUAUUGUCACGUUGAUCAUGUAAGCUAAUAACAGCUAGUGUUACACACGUCUCUUCAACCAUCAUAUUUGUCUGCGGCGAAGAAAAAAAAAUGCCGAUUAGUGAGAAACUUCCAACUUGGGCCGUUGUUCCGGCUGUUUUAGCCGUGUUUUCCGUAAUUUUCUAUCAGAUCUUAAUCGCGCCGGACAAUUUGAACGGCACCAAAAAUGUAUUGUCGAUGGCUAAGACCAUACCACUUCCUGUCGAUGGACCAGAGAGCAUUGAGUGGGAUCCGCAAGGAGGAGGUCCUUAUGCUGCUCUUGUGGACGGCCGUAUUCUCAAGUGGCGUGGAGAUGGUCUCGGUUGGGUUGAGUUCGCAUACACAUCUCCUCGCAGGUUUUUACAACGUUUAUUAGACCAUGAUUAUCCCUAGUCUCUUAACUGGAGUUCUUAGCUUCGAAUAAGAGACGAAUCUUAGUUUUCUUAGAUUUUAACUAAGAAAAUCUAAGAAUCGUCUCUUAAAUAAGAAAUAUAAAAGUCGUCUCUUAGUCGAAAAAUGUAAAAAAAAAUAAAAAACUGUCAAAUCUUGAGUUAAGAACCUCCGGCUAAGAAACCGAGGUUAAUCCCUUAGAGCAUGCUUAACCAUGGUUCUUAAUUUGGGGUUUUUAACUCAUGAUUUGACACUUUUUUGUUUUUGUUUGUUUUUUUAACACUUUUCGGCUAAGAACUGGCUCUUAUAUCUCUUAUUUAAGAGACGGUUCUUAGCUUUUUUAAUUAAAAGCUAAGAAACGGUUCUCAGCCGAAACUAAGAACUUCACCCUAAAAAUCCGAGUUAAUCAUGGUCUUAGAACGCACCAUGCAUAGUGACCAAAUAAUUUAAGCAAACAAAACAAUUUGUUUGAUUAUUUAUUUUGUUUUCUUUAGAGGACUAUGAGGAUUUUACUGUAUUGUUCUGGAGCCUUUUCAUAUUUUUCCCUUCUACCCAAUAAAAUUAGAAAGAAAUUUUUUAUAUAUUUAUACUAUUAUUUUGCGAAGUGAUUUUCGAUUCUGAAAUAUAAUACUUUUAAUGAAAUUUUAUAUAUAAUUAAAACGAAUAUUAUAUUAAUAAUAUUAUAUUUCUAUGGUAUAUUAGAUAAUUGGUUAUAUAUUAAUUUAAUAAAAAUUUCAAAACUAAAAAUACAUCUUUAAAAAGAUAAUUCUUAUAUAUUGUGCUGUUAUCUAGAAAUACUAUUUUCUAUUAUAAAAUUUUUUAAAAUAUUAAUCUGUGUAAAGAUAUUUCUAAAAUAUUUCUAAUAUGUGAGUGAUUUAAAAAAAUUAACACAAUAAUAAGCAUAUAUAUUUUAGUGAAAAAACUUGUUAUAUAUAAUGAUCUGAUGUUUGAUAACUUUUUGAAAACAUUAAUAGUACUUUAUUAUGUUAAUUUUUGAAUUAGUUAAAUAUGUAUUCGUAAAAAAUCGCAUGUGCGGGAAAAUAGUAUAAAUAUGUUUACAGUUUACACUAUGGAAGUUUUUUUUAAUAAUAACAAUGAUGUAUUUAUCCAUGUUGUACGUAGAGGGAACUGUUCCCGGCAUGAAGUAGUACCUACAUGUGGAAGUCCACUAGGACUUAGUUUCGAGAAGAAAACAGGAGACUUGUACAUCUGUGAUGGUUACCUCGGGGUCAUGAAGGUUGGGCCAGAAGGAGGCUUGGCUGAGUUGGUAGUGGACCAGGCUGAAGGUCGCAAAGUAAUGUUUGCAAACCAGAUGGAUAUUGACGAAGAGGAAGAUGUCUUCUACUUCAAUGACAGUAGUGACAAGUAUCAUUUCAGGUAUGUUUUAGGCUUUACCAAACUUAUAUAUAUGCACUUAGGAUCAACCAAUUUUCGAAAUGUUUUACCUAACUUAUUGUGUUACCUAAUGUUUAAGCUUUACUUAACGUUUUAAUCUGUUUUUUUUCUCCACGAAACACAAACUUUCGUAGUUUUAUUUUUUCAUUUUCAAUUUAUAAAUAACAAAUAAAUGGAUAGAAGUUGUAGGCUGUUUCCGGUUGCAUUUUAACAAAGUUUAAUGUAUACCUAAAUUCUAACGCAAAACAAAAUAGCGUUUGAACAAUCUAAAAUUUAAAUCUAACUGUAAUUUUUGUUGGUCAGGGAUGUAUUUUACGUGAUUGUCAACGGUGAGCGGCCAGGAAGAGUGAUCAGAUACAAUAAGAAGACGAAAGAGGCCAAGGUUGUCAUGGACAAUCUCCGUUGUAACAACGGUUUGGCUCUAAACAAAGAUAGAUCUUUCUUAGUCUCAUGUGAGUCUGCCACUGGCCUUGUCCAUCGAUAUUGGAUUAAAGGUCCUAAAGCCGGGACUCGUGAUAUCUUCGCCAAGGUUCCUGGUUAUCCUGACAACAUCCGUUUGACACCCACUGGUGAUUUUUGGAUUGGUAUACACUGUAAGAAAAACUUACUAGGACGAUUGGUUGUGAAUAAUCAGUGGUUAGGGAAGUUGGUUGAAAAGACGGUGAAGUUAGAGUUAUUGAUUGGGUUAGUGAACGGGUUUAAGCCGCAUGGGGUCGCCGUGAAAAUUUCCGGGGAGACGGGGGAGAUAGUUGAGAUACUUGAGGACAAAGAAGGGAAGACAAUGCAGUAUGUGAGUGAGGCUUAUGAGAGAGAUGAUGGUAAGAUAUGGUUUGGGUCCGUUUUCACGCCUGCCGUAUGGGUUCUUGAUCGCAAGUGAGUGAUUCCGUUUGUUGUAUGUACGGAGUCAUGUUUUGUAAGUUAAGUGUCUCUUGUUUGUUGCUUGUAUUUAAAAAUAGACAUGCUUGUAGAGUAGAUGCAUCCACUGUACCAUGUACAGUUUCAAUAACUAAAUACUUCUUGACGCUCCUUCCUCUUGUUUACUUUGUUCACAUACAGCCUCACCCUCGCAGAGAAUAAGAGGCUAACACAAUUGUACUAAGCUCGAUAUGAAUACAUACAGAAAAGUAAUCACAUUACAUAAAGCAAAUAAAUUACAUUCCUGUAUAGCAUUAAUAUUAGUUUAAAACUAAACCUGAAAAGACGAAACUUUUGAUGAAGAACAGCUACAUGAAAGAGAGAGAUAAGACACCUGAGCUUGCAAAGGACGUUCAAGUGUGCAGGUGACUGAUUCAGAGUGGUUCAAUACCCUAGUUUAAACGCGGGGGAGGGGGGGUUCUCUAUGUUUAAACAACUGAACAUAGAAUUGUUUAAAGGUCAUUUGUGUUUAAAUUAAACCCAUUGAAGGGUUUUAAUAGGCCCAAUUAAGAGAUAGAGAGACCAGAAAAGUAAAGCUAUGGAAACUGAUCCCUUCAUAUUUUUACCAUUUUGGAAUAUUUUGACAUGUUCCUUGAAAAGUAUCAGUCUGAUGUCUGAAACAGAGAAGCAUACUUGUUUUAAAGGUAAUGAUUGUAGUUGACCCUAGGUCGUUGUAGUUGACCCUAGGUCGAUAAUGCCUUUACAUUAUAGAUCACCGACCGUUGUUUAUUGAAUUUAACCUUUAUAUAUUUAUCAACAAAUGUUUUUUUUUUUUGGUGGGUCAACAAAUAAAUAAAAUGCUUAUGUAUAUGCUGACAACUUGCUUAUGUAUAGGCUUACAACAUUAGAAUUGUUUGGCUGAACCUUCUUCCACCUGAUUUCCACGAGCCUCCAACACUUUCUUGAGGCCGAGUCAUCUUUCAGUAUGUGAACUCUAAUUCUUUAGUGUCAAUGAGUGUACUCUUAAUGCCUGCAAUAUUCUUAUUAAUUGUGACUGGACAUAGCUCUCGCGUGGUACGUAGACUCUGGCGUGUGCCCACUUACGUCCUGAGAUCCAAAUAUUUCUCUUUAUAGUAUAAGUAAGUCGUAUAACACUUCGGAAACACUUAUUAUAUAGUUUCUUAAAUUUUAUUUAACUAGAGAUUUAUUUGUUUAUUUUAUCCUAUUAUCCGGAUAUAAAUAUAUUCCACAAUUAUAUCUCCACCUAUAGUUCAGGGAAGUCCCAGCUUCAAGAGAGAACGUAAUCUUAUAACUUGACAGUAAGCAAACAAAAAUGUGUGCAUUAGUCCCUCCAGUGUUCCCAAACUUUGGGUGGCCGUCGACAGGAGAGUACGAGAGUAACUACCUGGCAGGAGUGAACCUCGAGGACUUUACGUUUCUUGAUUUUCCGGCACCAGAGACAUAUGGAGUGGAACAUUAUCAGGAGAUUCAGGAAAUGUUGGGGGUCUCUGUUCCGUCCGAGGGGAAUGGAGUCUUAACCAAGAAGCUUAAUCACAAUGCUAGUGAGCGUGACCGUCGCAAGAAGAUCAACUCUUUGUUCUCGUCUCUCCGUUCAUGUCUCCCAGCUUCUGAUCAAACGGUAAGUAGCUACUCCGCUAUAUCGUCUAAUUAGUUUCACCUCAAAACCAAAUAGCAAUAAUUAGAUAAUUAGUCUGCUCAUUACAUUAUUUUAUGUGAUAUUUAUAAUACGCUUGUCCAUACAUCUAAUACCAUUUAGAGGAAGAAUAUUGAAUUAACUCUUUUUUCUUUAAUUUCUUUAAUUUCUUUCUUGCAAAAGAAGCUAAGUAUUCCUCAGACGGUUUCUCGGAGCUUGAAGUACAUUCCAGAGCUGCAAGAGCAAGUGAAGAAGCUAAUACAAAAGAAGGAAGAACUCUUGGUGCGAGUAUCAGGUCAAAGAGCCAUUGAACAUUACGUUGAGCCGCAGCCAAAGGCCGUUGCACGUUACGUCUCGACCAUUUCUGCGACUAAGCUUGGAGACAACGAAGUGAUGGUCCAAAUCUCAUCGUCCAAGAAUCAUAACUUUUCGAUAUCUAAUGUGUUGAGUGGGUUAGAAGAAGAUGGGUUUGUUCUUGUUGAUGUUUCAUCUUCAAGGUAUCAUGGAGAAUGGCUCUUCUACUCUUUGCAUCUUCAAAUCUAUAUAUAUAAAGAAAUGUUCGCCUCUCUCCCGUGAAGCCACAUCAUCAAUUUGUGCGUUUUGGGAGUGACACGUGUCCCAUUUUAUAUUUAGGGCCAAAAUAAAUAAAUGCAGUUAAGGGUAAUUGAACCCAGCACCUCUAGCACUGGUAAUUUCUCUUAGAACCACUAGGCUAAAGUCACUUUUUAUAAAUAUGUGGCCGCGAAAAUACUUAUUAUCGUGUCAGCUGGAAGCCCAUGCUUCUUCUGCUUGUGGCCAGGGCCGACACUGAACUGACGUCAAGAUGAAAAUCGUGAAGUUAAAAACUUUGCUCCAAACAGUUUUGCAAUGUUUCCAACCUUUAUAACUUGAUGCAUAUAAUAUAUAUCAAAAUACAUUUGUUGUACACGCUUUUAUUAGUUUUGCUUUUAAAAGAAAUUAUUUACAGUUAUAAAUGUUUUGUGCCAGUGAAGUAAUAGUUGAAAAAUCUCUAUACAUAUGUUAUUUUAAAAUAACACUCAACUUCUAUAUAUAGUCAAUACAUAUGUGCAUGUUAUAUUCUAGACUAAAUAUUUUCUCUUUUAAAAAUAUAAAAAACAAUUUUUUUAGUCUACAAGCAAAUGUUGUAGAACAAGUAUGCAUUAUACAAAAUAAUAUAUAUUUAAAAUCCAUACACAAAAACAUAAAAGUUGUUACAGGCUUCUUUCUGACACAUGCACACUCCACUAUGAAUAAAAAUUAAAAAAAAAACAGUAUUGUCAUCAGACUUUAUCACAAAUCUACAUUUGUACAUCUAUAAUUAUGAGUUAUACAAUUAGUUAAUUUGAUACAAUACCAAAGCAAGAAUAAUCGAAAAACAACUAUACCACCGCAUACUAAUAAGUAAGACAUAACAGAUAACCAAAUUCUUAAAUCUUAAAACAAAUUUCAACUCGAGCAUUUAGUGAAUAUCAAAUUAACUAAUAUCCCGCCCGUAGGGCGGGCCGACCCUAGUGGGAAAUAAAGAUAAUCACAAACUGAAGUGCGAAGAGCUAGGCCAGAGAAUUUUGUACUUGUACGAGGAAUGUGAAAACUCAUUUAGAUGAUAAUUUGUUAUUGUUUCUUUUAGUUAAAAAGUAAGAGACCGUAUCUUAUAUUACGCUAAAAGACCCAACCUAAGAAACCUGCAAUAAACAUGCUCUAAUAUCCAUGUAGUCAAGUUGUUUCGUUUAUUUUUCUUGUCGAAGUCAAUGAUCGAUUAUUACAUUUACAUGCUAUUGAAUAUUGACUGAUUACUAUGAAAUUCAUGUUACUGAAAACUUUUAUUUUUGUUUAGACUUUUGUCUUUGGGGGCUCAACUUUUUGUCGUCUUCUACUCUUUGUUUAUGUAUUUUUUAAUUAUUUACAUAUUGUUAACAGUUAGUUGUGUAUUGUAUAUUAAUAAAAUCAACAAGGAAAAUUUAUUUUUUCAGGCAAAAAAAUGAUAACUAUGUUCUAUUAGGCUAAUUUUUCUUUUGUAUCAUUUUUUCCUCUAAUAUUCUUAAGUAUUUUCUAAAAUAAAUUUAAUAAAUAGUUUUACAAACAAAAAAAAUUCAAAAAAUAGUAACCACUGAUGAAAUACCUAUAUCAACUUAUUGGUAUUUUUUUCCAAUUCUAAAAAUGUUUAAAUCAUAAUUUUAAAUUUUGUUCUACAAAAAAUAGAAUUGACAUUCUACACAGUAGAAAAUGUAAUCCACUUUUUUCAUUGAAUCUAAUAUGUUUGGAAUACGUCAUCUACCUAAACAAUAGUAAUCUAAAAAUAUUUGGAAAACACAUUUCGCGCUUAACCUAUCAUUCUAAAAAUUGUAGAAUUUGAAAUCUACACAUUACUAUAAAUCUAAACCUGUAGAAAUCGUAAUAUACACAUUACUAUAAAUCUAAAACUAGUAGAAAUCGAUUUAAAACAUGUUUAAUGUGUUCUACAUAUACUAGAAUAAAGAUUCUACGGAUAAGAAUAAUCAGUUCCAAAAAUAUGGGAAGAGAAUAUUUGGAAAUAUUCAGUUUCCUUAAAUUUAUUAAAUCGAUUUUUUUUUAAAAAAAUCGUGAUUUAUAAAAUUAAUUUUUAAAUUAAAAAAAAUAAAACAUCGAUUUGGAAAUUUUUUCUCAUGCCAUCUUCUUCUCCCCUUUGUUCUUCAAGGAGAAGAGAAAAAUGAGUUUGAUUGAUUAGAAAUCGAGUUUUAAGAGUUCACCUCGUGUUUGUUCGGUUCAAAUCAAGUGGGAAUCAAACCGGAUUUAACCGACGAAAACCAGGAAAUCGAUUUGGAAGACUUACCUAGGCACGAGAUCGAUCGAUCCUGAAGACGCGACCGAUCGAUCCCGAAGACGCGACCGAUCGAUCGAAGUGGGAUCGAGCUUCUGCGAUCGACUGACCUGGGCUUGGUCGAUCAGUAUAUGCUCUGCAUAUUUUUGUUGUUCUGGAUAAAUUUAUCAGGAUCGACCGGUUUAGAUUGAACUUUUGCUUACGGGAUUGAUCGAUCCCUUUGAGAAAAAAACUUCGAACUUUAGAUUUUUUUGGAGAUUUUUAAUAUUUUAUUUUAAUUAUUUUAGUUAAAAUUAUAUUUUAAUAUUUAACAAUGUUUUAUUAAUUGCAAUUUUGAAAAUUUUAAUUGAAAUUAAGGACAAUAUUGUCAUUUUGAAAAUAUUUAGACUAAUAGGACAUAAAGUAUAUGAGAUUAGCCUAAUAGGACAUAGUUAUCAUUUAUUUGACCUAAAAAAAAACAAUUUUCCCAAUCAACAAAGACAAAAGUGGUCCUUAAGCUUAUAACUAACUGUAUCACUAAUAUGAUAUAAUGGACAACAUUAUAUUCUCUAUAAAAACUGAACAUAGAAUUUUUUAAAGGUCAUUUGUGUUUAAAUUAAGAAAAAAUUGUCAAAACACCACAGAAGACCAACUACAUUGUCCCUAUAGCAUAAAUCCUUUUUUGGUCGGAUUUGGACUUAGAUACCCCUGGCCAACUUAAAAAAUUCAUAUCAAUUAUUUUAAGAGUCAGAAAAAUAUGAAAAAUUAUUCAAAAUGUACAUAAACAUGAAACAAUCAUAUGAAAAAUAAUUUGGCUGACUAAAUAUUAGUGUAACAUAAUUUCAUAUUUUGAUCUUCAGAUCGCAGAAAACAAAAUCUACUAACUACGGAUAUGUAGAUCGUAGUUUCGGUUAACUACAUAUAUAUCUGGCGCUUGAAGAUGUUAAAAUCUACGAUUUCGUAAUAUGUCUACUACCGCAGAAAGAAAAGGUUACGGUUUUGCUUACGAUCUGAACCCCGAAAGAUUUCAUGAACUAAUGUCUCCUAUAUAUCUACUGGCUCGGAAUCAUAGAAUCUGCCAGUUACUAAUACUCUACCAUGGUAAUAUUUCGUUAUCUACUAAGAUAUUAUAACCUAUCUCUGCCGGAUUAUACAUUCUGCCAUCAUAUCUACCAUCAUAUAUACAAUCUACUGGCAACAAAAUGCAUGUUCUGCCAAAUUCGAAUUAUUUUCGAAAAUAUUCCUUAAAUCUUUCCAAAAUCUGUUGAAAAAUAUUUUGUAAAUCUUUAAUUUCCCAAAUUUUACGUGUUUCCUAAAGUUAUGUUUUAAAAAAAAAAACCGUGACCUCUCUUCUUCUUCUUCACAAGUUCUUGAUUAAUUUUGAAACCAUCCCAAAAAUUUGAACCCCUUGUUGAAGAACAUGCAUAUCUAUGCCUCUUGUGGGGUGUGGAAAUUUGAUCCCUGUAAAGGAUGGGGAUUUUGCUUUUGAUAAGGUAAAAGGAGGAAGAGUACUUGCUGUGGAAUUGACAAGUUCCUUUGAAGAUCUAAGGACUACGGCUUUUGAGGAUUUUGGAAUUGACCAAAACGAUGUCGAGCUUGAGUUAACCUACUUACCUAUGGAGUUAAUCAAUACGAUAGACUGUCCUCCAGUUAUCAUUGAGAAUGAUCGGCAAGUCAAGAAUUUUCUUACAUAUGUACGUGGAAAAGCUUCUUCAAGGUUGUGUGUGUCUAUUUCACAUGUCAAUGCAAACAACGACAACAUUGAGCUUGAUAAGGAGCAAUCUAACGCGUCUGGCAGAGAGCGAGGUGAGCCUUCCUCAUUUUCACCUGGAGAUGGCAUUGGUAGUUCUUGUGAAUCGAGCCAGGAUGGUGAAGACGAAUGUAACUCGAACGCCCCAGAAGAAGAUGAAGAUGCUGACUUAAGUGUAAAAGAAGAGGAUAAGGGAAUAAGUGUUCGGUUCUCUUUGAAGGAUGUUGUGAAGAGGGGUGAAACGUUUCAAAACAAAUCUAAGUUGAAAGCAGCAUUGGAAAUGUCAGCAAUGAAGAAUAACUUCGAUUACAAAGUUGUGAAUUCAGAUAGAAAACUUUGGUACAUCCGAUGCGUGGACAACAAGUGUAGGUGGAGUGUUCGUGCUGAGGGGUUAUCAGGAUCCACAUAUUUCAUCAUCAAAAAAUAUGUGGCGGAUCAUACAUGUGCUGCGUCAAGUAUGAAUAAUGGUGGUCGGACAGCUUCUGCAAAAACUAUUGGGAGUCUAAUAAUGCAUAGGUAUGAUGGUGUCAAAGAAGGUCCCAAAGCUAAUGAUAUCAUACAGAUUAUGAGAAUGGAACAUGGAUGCGAGAUAUCUAAAUCAUUAGCGUGGGACGCUCGUGAGUAUGCGAUUAGUCUGGUUAGAGGCAUUCCCGAGCAGAGUUUUGGAAAAAUUCCGAAAUACUUGCACAUGCUGAAAGAAGCUAAUCCAGGAACACACACCUUUUACGAAACCGAUGUUGAUGGUAAAUUCAGAUUUCUCUUUGUUUCGUUUGGGCAAUCAGUACGAGGUUUUCAUACAUCCAUGCGAAAAGUUUUUGUUGUUGAUGAGACAUUUUUGAAGAGCAAAUACAAAGGGGUAUUACUUGUUGCAACAACUUUAGAUGGAGACUCCAACUUGUAUCCUAUUGCAUUUGCGGUUGUGGACUCAGAAAAUGAUCGUUCAUGGGAUUGGUUUUUCAGACAACUAAAGGUUGUUGUUCCGGACGAGCGUGCUCUUGCCUUUGUGUCGGACAGAAAUAACUCACUUUGUAAGGGGCUUGAGAAUGUGUAUCCUCUUUCUCAACAUGGAAUUUGUAUUCACCAUUUGUUAAAUAAUGUGGUCACACAUUACAGAGGAAAAGGAGUGGUUGGAUUGAUUGCAAAAGCUUCUAAAGCUUAUAGAGUUGUUGAUUUUCAGAAGCGAUUCNNNNNNNNNNNNNNNNNNNNNNNNNNNNNNNNNNNNNNNNNNNNNNNNNNNNNNNNNNNNNNNNNNNNNNNNNNNNNNNNNNNNNNNNNNNNNNNNNNNNNNNNNNNNNNNNNNNNNNNNNNNNNNNNNNNNNNNNNNNNNNNNNNNNNNNNNNNNNNNNNNNNNNNNNNNNNNNNNNNNNNNNNNNNNNNNNNNNNNNNNNNNNNNNNNNNNNNNNNNNNNNNNNNNNNNNNNNNNNNNNNNNNNNNNNNNNNNNNNNNNNNNNNNNNNNNNNNNNNNNNNNNNNNNNNNNNNNNNNNNNNNNNNNNNNNNNNNNNNNNNNNNNNNNNNNNNNNNNNNNNNNNNNNNNNNNNNNNNNNNNNNNNNNNNNNNNNNNNNNNNNNNNNNNNNNNNNNNNNNNNNNNNNNNNNNNNNNNNNNNNNNNNNNNNNNNNNNNNNNNNNNNNNNNNNNNNNNNNNNNNNNNNNNNNNNNNNNNNNNNNNNNNNNNNNNNNNNNNNNNNNNNNNNNNNNNNNNNNNNNNNNNNNNNNNNNNNNNNNNNNNNNNNNNNNNNNNNNNNNNNNNNNNNNNNNNNNNNNNNNNNNNNNNNNNNNNNNNNNNNNNNNNNNNNNNNNNNNNNNNNNNNNNNNNNNNNNNNNNNNNNNNNNNNNNNNNNNNNNNNNNNNNNNNNNNNNNNNNNNNNNNNNNNNNNNNNNNNNNNNNNNNNNNNNNNNNNNNNNNNNNNNNNNNNNNNNNNNNNNNNNNNNNNNNNNNNNNNNNNNNNNNNNNNNNNNNNNNNNNNNNNNNNNNNNNNNNNNNNNNNNNNNNNNNNNNNNNNNNNNNNNNNNNNNNNNNNNNNNNNNNNNNNNNNNNNNNNNNNNNNNNNNNNNNNNNNNNNNNNNNNNNNNNNNNNNNNNNNNNNNNNNNNNNNNNNNNNNNNNNNNNNNNNNNNNNNNNNNNNNNNNNNNNNNNNNNNNNNNNNNNNNNNNNNNNNNNNNNNNNNNNNNNNNNNNNNNNNNNNNNNNNNNNNNNNNNNNNNNNNNNNNNNNNNNNNNNNNNNNNNNNNNNNNNNNNNNNNNNNNNNNNNNNNNNNNNNNNNNNNNNNNNNNNNNNNNNNNNNNNNNNNNNNNNNNNNNNNNNNNNNNNNNNNNNNNNNNNNNNNNNNNNNNNNNNNNNNNNNNNNNNNNNNNNNNNNNNNNNNNNNNNNNNNNNNNNNNNNNNNNNNNNNNNNNNNNNNNNNNNNNNNNNNNNNNNNNNNNNNNNNNNNNNNNNNNNNNNNNNNNNNNNNNNNNNNNNNNNNNNNNNNNNNNNNNNNNNNNNNNNNNNNNNNNNNNNNNNNNNNNNNNNNNNNNNNNNNNNNNNNNNNNNNNNNNNNNNNNNNNNNNNNNNNNNNNNNNNNNNNNNNNNNNNNNNNNNNNNNNNNNNNNNNNNNNNNNNNNNNNNNNNNNNNNNNNNNNNNNNNNNNNNNNNNNNNNNNNNNNNNNNNNNNNNNNNNNNNNNNNNNNNNNNNNNNNNNNNNNNNNNNNNNNNNNNNNNNNNNNNNNNNNNNNNNNNNNNNNNNNNNNNNNNNNNNNNNNNNNNNNNNNNNNNNNNNNNNNNNNNNNNNNNNNNNNNNNNNNNNNNNNNNNNNNNNNNNNNNNNNNNNNNNNNNNNNNNNNNNNNNNNNNNNNNNNNNNNNNNNNNNNNNNNNNNNNNNNNNNNNNNNNNNNNNNNNNNNNNNNNNNNNNNNNNNNNNNNNNNNNNNNNNNNNNNNNNNNNNNNNNNNNNNNNNNNNNNNNNNNNNNNNNNNNNNNNNNNNNNNNNNNNNNNNNNNNNNNNNNNNNNNNNNNNNNNNNNNNNNNNNNNNNNNNNNNNNNNNNNNNNNNNNNNNNNNNNNNNNNNNNNNNNNNNNNNNNNNNNNNNNNNNNNNNNNNNNNNNNNNNNNNNNNNNNNNNNNNNNNNNNNNNNNNNNNNNNNNNNNNNNNNNNNNNNNNNNNNNNNNNNNNNNNNNNNNNNNNNNNNNNNNNNNNNNNNNNNNNNNNNNNNNNNNNNNNNNNNNNNNNNNNNNNNNNNNNNNNNNNNNNNNNNNNNNNNNNNNNNNNNNNNNNNNNNNNNNNNNNNNNNNNNNNNNNNNNNNNNNNNNNNNNNNNNNNNNNNNNNNNNNNNNNNNNNNNNNNNNNNNNNNNNNNNNNNNNNNNNNNNNNNNNNNNNNNNNNNNNNNNNNNNNNNNNNNNNNNNNNNNNNNNNNNNNNNNNNNNNNNNNNNNNNNNNNNNNNNNNNNNNNNNNNNNNNNNNNNNNNNNNNNNNNNNNNNNNNNNNNNNNNNNNNNNNNNNNNNNNNNNNNNNNNNNNNNNNNNNNNNNNNNNNNNNNNNNNNNNNNNNNNNNNNNNNNNNNNNNNNNNNNNNNNNNNNNNNNNNNNNNNNNNNNNNNNNNNNNNNNUAGAAAGAUAAGAGAACUGAUUUGUGAAAUCCGUAUUAACCACUCCAAGGCUGGAUUUCUCCUCAGCCAGCAGGAUUUCUCUUCCACCACCUAGCCAACAAAUCAAACUUUUGUUUUUUUGUUUCUUUUUUUUUUUUUAGUUUUUUUUUUCUAAUUUAAAAAAAAGAAAAUUAAAAAGCAGACCAAUCGCGGAGCGCCACGUGUCGGUGGAACCCGCAAACAGUGCAAAACACACACAUCAGUCGUUUCUUAUUUUGCCCACUUUGCAUACGGUUUUUCUAAAACCUCGGCCCCCCACCGCUUUAGAGACGUUAAAAAUGUAGCGAUAAUAAUGCUCUAAUAGUGACAUAAAACAUAACAAUUAAAAGCCAGGAAAGUAACUUUUUUUAAGAAAAAAUUGCCAAAACACCACAGAAAAACAACUACAUUGUCCCUAUACCAUAAAUCAUUUUUUUGUCAGAUUUGGACUUAGAUACCUCUGGUCAACUUCAAAAAUUCAUAUCAAUUAUUUUAAGAGUCAGAAAAAUAUGAAAAAUUAUUCAAAAUGUACAUAAACAUGAAACAAUCAUAUGAAAAAUAAUUUGGCUGACUAAAUAUUAGUGUAACAUAAUUUCAUAUUUUGAUCUUCAGAUCGCAGAAAACAAAAUCUACUAACUACGGAUAUGUAGAUCGUAGUUUCGGUUAACUACAUAUAUAUCUGGCGCUUGAAGAUGUUAAAAUCUACGAUUUCGUAAUAUGUCUACUACCGCAGAAAGAAAAGGUUACGGUUUUGCUUACGAUCUGAACCCCGAAAGAUUUCAUGAACUAAUGUCUCCUAUAUAUCUACUGGCUCGGAAUCAUAGAAUCUGCCAGUUACUAAUACUCUACCAUGGUAAUAUUUCGUUAUCUACUAAGAUAUUAUAACCUAUCUCUGCCGGAUUAUACAUUCUGCCAUCAUAUCUACCAUCAUAUAUACAAUCUACUGGCAGCAGAAUGCAUGUUCUGCCAAAUUCGAAUUAUUUUCGAAAAUAUUCCUUAAAUCUCUCCAAAAUCUGUUGAAAAAUAUUUUGUAAAUCUUUAAUUUCCCAAAUUUUACGUGUUUCCUAAAGUUAUGUUUUUAAAAAAUAACUGUGACCUCUCUUCUUCUUCUUCACAAGUUCUUGAUUAAUUUUGAAACCACCCCAAAAAUUUGAACCCCUUGUUGAAGAACAUGCAUAUCUAUGCCUCUUGUGGGGUGUGGAAAUUUGAUCCCUGUAAAGGAUGGGGAUUUUGCUUUUGAUAAGGUAAAAGGAGGAAGAGUACUUGCUGUGGAAUUGACAAGUUCCUUUGAAGAUCUAAGGACUACGGCUUUUGAAGAUUUUGGAAUUGACCAAAACGAUGUCGAGCUUGAGUUAACCUACUUACCUAUGGAGUUAAUCAAUACGAUAGACUGUCCUCCAGUUAUCAUUGAGAAUGAUCGGCAAGUCAAGAAUUUUCUUACAUAUGUACGUGGAAAAGCUUCUUCAAGGUUGUGUGUGUCUAUUUCACAUGUCAAUGCAAACAACGACAACAUUGAGCUUGAUAAGGAGCAAUCUAACGCGUCUGGCAGAGAGCGAGGUGAGCCUUCCUCAUUUUCACCUGGAGAUGGCAUUGGUAGUUCUUGUGAAUCGAGCCAGGAUGGUGAAGACGAAUGUAACUCGAACGCCCCAGGUGUGUGCAAUAUUAGUCCAGCUAUUGGAAAAUAUUUAAGAGAUGCAGAUGUUACAAAGUGGGCUCGCUGUCAGUUUCAAGGAUACAGGUACGACAUCAGGACGACAAACCCGGCUGAGUCAAUAAACUCUGCUUUGCGCUCACCAAGAGAGUAUCCAGUCAUUCCUUUGUUGGAUAGCAUCAAAGAAAUGCUUACCCGUUGGUUCUUCGAACGACGCACACGAAGCAGGAAGCACACAAAACCAUUAACUAUUGCCAUCGAGAAAAAGAUAGAUAGACGGAUUAACAAGGGUAAAAUGUUUCUUGUCCAGCCAGUUAACGUGCAUCAUUUUUUGGUUCGCGGAGAUACAAUCGACUGCCUGGUUGAUUUGGACAGAAGAACAUGCUCUUGUGGGAAAUACGACCUACUGAAAAUCCCAUGUAGACACGCAAUCAAGGCUGGUUUAACAGUUGGCAUGAUGGUGUCAAAGAAGGUCCCAAAGCUAAUGAUAUCAUACAGAUUAUGAGAAUGGAACAUGGAUGCGAGAUAUCUAAAUCAUUAGCGUGGGACGCUCGUGAGUAUGCGAUUAGUCUGGUUAGAGGCAUUCCCGAGCAGAGUUUUGGAAAAAUUCCGAAAUACUUGCACAUGCUGAAAGAAGCAAAUCCAGGAACACACACCUUUUAUGAAACCGAUGUUGAUGGUAAAUUCAGAUUUCUCUUUGUUUCGUUUGGGCAAUCAGUAUGAGGUUUUCAUACAUCCAUGCGAAAAGUUCUUGUUAUUGAUGGGACAUUUUUGAAGAGCAAAUACAAAGGAGUAUUACUUGUUGCGACGACUUUAGAUGGAAACUCCAACUUGUAUCCUAUUGCAUUUGCGGUUGUGGACUCGGAAAAUGAUCGUUCAUGGGAUUGGUUUUUCAGACAACUAAAGGUUGUUGUUCCGGACGAGCGUGCUCUUGCCUUUGUGUCGGACAGAAAUAAUUCACUUUGUAAGGCGCUUGAGAAUGUGUAUCCUCUUUCUCAACGUGGAAUUUGUAUUCACCAUUUGUUGAAUAAUGUGGUCACACAUUACAGAGGAAAGGGAGUGGUUGGAUUGAUUGCAAAAGCUUCUAAAGCUUAUAGAGUUGUUGAUUUUCAGAAGCGAUUCCAAGCUGUGUGCAAUAUUAGUCCAGCUAUUGGAAAAUAUUUAAGAGAUGCAGAUGUUACAAAGUGGGCUCGCUGUCAGUUUCAAGGAUACAGGUACGACAUCAGGACGACAAACCCGGCUGAGUCAAUAAACUCUGCUUUGCGCUCACCAAGAGAGUAUCCAGUCAUUCCUUUGUUGGAUAGCAUCAAAGAAAUGCUUACCCGUUGGUUCUUCGAACGACGCACACGAAGCAGGAAGCACACAAAACCAUUAACUAUUGCCAUCGAGAAAAAGAUAGAUAGACGGAUUAACAAGGGUAAAACGUUUCUUGUCCAGCCAGUUAACGAGCAUCGUUUUUUGGUUCGCGGAGAUACAAUCGACUGCCUGGUUGAUUUGGACAGAAGAACCUGCUCNNNNNNNNNNNNNNNNNNNNNNNNNNNNNNNNNNNNNNNNNNNNNNNNNNNNNNNNNNNNNNNNNNNNNNNNNNNNNNNNNNNNNNNNNNNNNNNNNNNNNNNNNNNNNNNNNNNNNNNNNNNNNNNNNNNNNNNNNNNNNNNNNNNNNNNNNNNNNNNNNNNNNNNNNNNNNNNNNNNNNNNNNNNNNNNNNNNNNNNNNNNNNNNNNNNNNNNNNNNNNNNNNNNNNNNNNNNNNNNNNNNNNNNNNNNNNNNNNNNNNNNNNNNNNNNNNNNNNNNNNNNNNNNNNNNNNNNNNNNNNNNNNNNNNNNNNNNNNNNNNNNNNNNNNNNNNNNNNNNNNNNNNNNNNNNNNNNNNNNNNNNNNNNNNNNNNNNNNNNNNNNNNNNNNNNNNNNNNNNNNNNNNNNNNNNNNNNNNNNNNNNNNNNNNNNNNNNNNNNNNNNNNNNNNNNNNNNNNNNNNNNNNNNNNNNNNNNNNNNNNNNNNNNNNNNNNNNNNNNNNNNNNNNNNNNNNNNNNNNNNNAAUUCUUCAAUUCCCAACAAUCCUUCUUCAAGUGACCCUUCUUGCCACAGUGGUAGCAUUUAAAAGUCUUCUUACUUCUUGACUUUGAUCUACCAUGUUUGUGACUCCCACUUGAGCCAUGUUCCAUUGAUCUCCCUCUCAUCACCGUCAAUGCCUCUAUUUGGGAAUUUUCUCGUCUGUCUUCCUUACUUUUGCGCCGACUUUCUUCUUCUAGAACCGCAGCUGCAACAUCGUCAAAGACUAGACUGUCGGUGGAGACAUUAUUUGUUAAGUUGAUGAUGAGUUGAUCAUAUGAAUCUGGUAGACUUUGAAGUAGAAGCUCAGAAUUUUCUUGUGAUUCUACUUUAUAACUCAACGAAGUGAGUUGAGAAAAUAAAGUAUUCAACGUGUUGAUGUGCUCCGUCACUGAAGUAUAUUCUCCCAUCCGAAGGGUAUAAAGCUUCUGGAUAGAGCAGGAUCACAGCUAAUAAUUUGAGAAAUAGUGUAAUAAAUGGAACACCGGAUUUAACGUGGAAAACCCCAAAGGGUAAAAACUACGGACAAGGUAGAAGAAUUUAUUACGAGAAAAAUAAUAGGAGUUACAACCUCUCAAUUAUAACGGAGAAAUCGAUUAAUAAUUUUCUCGUUAUAAUAGGAGAAAAUACCAAAACUCUCUAAAUAAUUUUCUCUCAACCCGAUCCCAAAUACCCGUAAGAAAUUUUUUUUUUUUUUCUCUCUCACGUUCUUCUUCUUCCUCACUUCUCUCUGUGAUUUUGAUUUUUGGGAUGAAUGAAAUGGUUCACCAUAUCUCUCAUUUUAUAAGCAUGAAGAAGGUGUUUGGUGAGCUCACAAUCUUUGACAAAACCAACGUCAAUAAUUUCAGCCACCUAACAUCACCGUCCAUGCCAUCACCGUCCACUCCUCCGACCAUCAUAUUAAAAACGUGUUUUAACAUAUUUCAGUAUGUAAAUAAUAAUGUUAUUAUAGUUUUCAUAUGCCUCUUCAAUUCCUAUACAUUAUAUCCAAGGAAGGAUGACUGGACCUAGUGCAUGCGUGGAACAUAAGCUCCCGAACGUGCCAAACUGUGUCCUACCGCUACCAAGACCUACAUAUUUAUCAUUGUAGUAAAUAUAAGUAUAUAUAACGCAUAACUAUAUAGUCUGAACGAAUCAAAUUACAACUUUAUUAUAUAGGUUUUUUUUUUUGAAAAAUCUUUAUUAUAUAGUUUGUAGAUUAAUAUCUAACAACGUAGAUUUUUUUCUUAAAUCCUUUAUCCGCUAUAUAAUCGGGAGACACUUUUAUUCCAGCCAAAGUACAGCUUCGAUAGAAAACAUAAGCUAUAAACUUGUCUCUAAUUAAGCAAAGAAAAUGUGUGCAUUGGUCCCUCCAGUGUACGAGAGCUACGAGAGAGUACGAGAGCUACUACGGUAGUGGAGAGUACCUCACCAACGGCACAUUUUUUUAUUUUCCGGAGACUUUUGGAGUGGUUCAUCAACAGAACGUGCUUAGGGGUUUCUGUUUCGUCAGAAGUAAUUGGAAUAGACAAGAACCCGGUUGUAACCAAGAAGCUUAAACACAAUGCAAGCGAGCGUGACCGUCAGAAGAAGAUCAACUCUUUGUUCUCAUCUCUGCGUUCCUGUCUUCCAGCCUCUGAUCAAUCGGUAAGUAGCUACUCUGAUAAAUCAUAUAUGUCUCUAUAUUAUUUAGAGGAAGAAUAUAAAACUAACACUUUUUUCUUUACUUUCUUGCAGAAGAAGUUAAGUAUUCCUAAACGGUUUCGAGGAGCUUGAAGUACAUACCAGAGCUGCAAGAGGAAGUGAAGAAGCUAAUACAAAAGAAGGAAGAACUUUUGGUGCGAGUAUCGGGUCAAAGAGACAUUGAACAUCACGUUAAGCAGCAACCAAAGGUGGUUGUGCGUUAUGUCUCGACUGUGUCUGUGACUAGGCUUGGAGACAACGAAGUGAUGGUCCAAAUCUCAUCGUCCAAGAUUCAUAGCUUUUGGAUAUCUAAUGUGUUAAGUGGGUUAGAAGAAGAUGGGUUUUGUUCUUGUGGAUGUUUCAUCGCCAAGGUCUCAUGGUGAAAGGCUUUUCUACACUUUGCAUCUUCAAAUGGGAUAUAUUGAUUACAAGAUGGAUUGCACAGAAUUAAGUCAGAGGAUUUUGUUUCUUUAGAAGAUAACUUGGUUGGUUUCUUUUAGUUAUGUCGUUCCUUUCUCUUCAACAUCGAACAUUCUUGAUCCCUAAGCAUUGUAAUUGAGUUGUUUCGGUUUACUAUGCAAAUAAUAUUACAGAAUUAAAUUUUUAAUUCUUUUUAUUUACUUCGACUCAACAUUACUGGUAAUAUACUCUUGUUCCGAAAUUUCGCUAGGUGUUGUACAUACACUUGAAUACUACUGAAUUGUGAAAAUAUCAAAAAUUAUCAGGGAUUUAUUUUUAUUCUUAUACUAUACUAGGUGUUUUGACCGCACAUGCGGACAUAAUUCUUUUAUAAAUAUUUAUUAAUAAAUAUACUAUUAGUUUAAAGAUCAAAAUUUUAAUUAAAACAUUAAAUUUAUACUAUUUUAUGAAUCUUUUAAUUUCUUUAAAUUUAUACUAUUUUAUAAAUCUUUUAAUUUCUUAGUUUUACUUUUACAGAUUUAAAACAUUAUUUUGGAUAAAACAUUAAUAUAUUAAUUUAAAAUAUGUUGUAAUAAUUAAAUAAAAUAUAUAUAUAAUUGUUAAUAUAAAGUGAUGUUUUCAAACCAAGGGAAAUUGCCACAAAUAUCACAUUCAUAGUACCACUUUUACUCUCACUUUUAAUGAAGGGUAAAAGACAUUUAUACCCUUAGAAUUAACUAAUCUAGAAUUAGGGUUUAAAGUUGAGAGGUGGGAUAUGGUUAUUGGAAUGUGAAAUUUAGGAUUCUAAUAAAUAUAUAAAUAAAUCCUUAAAAAAUAUAAAAAAAAAAUUUCAAACAUAAUUUUUGAUUUUCAAAAAGAAAUUUUGAAAAAACAAUUUGAAUUUUUUUUUAUAAAAAGUUCGAAUUUGAAAAAGUAUAAUUCGAAAACAUAAAAAAUAAAAAUUUAUUUUUAUUUUUUAAUUUUUAAUAUUUUAUUUAAAUAAUUAUUUAUUAUAUAUAUAUAUAUAACAUGGUUAUAAGAGUCUUUUGCCACUUAAUGAAAAAAAUAAUUCUGAAAAUGUCUCUUUAGUGGUAGUAAAGAUAAAUAAUAGUACCAUGAAAGUGGUAAACAUGAAAUUCCCCCUCAAACCAAAUGUAAGGCUAUGAAUAUGAUGCAGUACAAAAGCAGAAGAAACACAGGAGAAAUAGUCUUCAGUUUUAUAUGCACUUUUUGUCUAUUCAUCAUUAAUAUGCAGAACAAAAAGAAAAUAAUAUAAUAUUUAGUAAACUGUUUGUAAAUAAUUUUAUAUGUAAGAAAAAAAUUGUCCCGCAAACAUAGCAAAAAAAAGAAGAUGGCCAAAAAUAGAGGCCCAAUAGGUAAUUUUCUUCUUCUUUUUCUUAUAAAUACUACACCCAUCUUAAUUUAUUUCAUUAAUAAACAAAACAAAUUCUAUAAUUUUUUUGUAAACACUUAUAUAUUUUUUUACUUGACAUAUUCAUAAAUUUAACAUAAUUUUCUGCAUAAAUAUUUAUUUAGCUACACUAAAUAAUCUUAUAUAAUAUUUAAAUAAAUAGAAAACAUAUAUGGUUGGUUUUAUUUCAUCUUAUAAGAUUUUUAUAGAAAUCAGUUAAAUGAAUUCAUGCAUUUUAUUGAUUGAUUAUAUUUAUAAAUUUAAAUAGUUAUUUUAUUAUCAUUCAUAUUUUAGACAAUGAAAUAUUGUAUAUAAUUUCUUUUUUUGUGUCAUACAUACAUAUAUUAUGAGACAUUCAUGUAUUUUUAUCCUUUCUUUAACUGGUUUUUCAUAUUUCAGGUUAUAUAUACCCCAAAAAUAAUUGAAAAAUAAAAGUACAUUUUCAAUUUGUUUCUUAAGUGAAUUAUAAAAUUUUUAAUAUGUUAAAAAUAAGAUAUUUGGAGUUUCGACAAGGAAAACUUAUAACUAACAUUAGAGAAAUUAUUGCAAAUAUUUUAUGCACAAACAAAAAUACUCUCUAUUAACUUUUUCAAUUUAAUUGUAUGUUGUAAUUGUAUUUAUUUUAUAUAAUGUUUAAAUUUUGAUCAUAUUUAAUAAAAUAAUAACAUUUACUGUUUAUAUAUAAGAAUUUGUAAUUUUAUUUUAAAUAUUUUACUUAUAUUUUUUAAAUUCGUUUAAAUAUAAUAAUUCAGUAAAUUAGUUUAACUAGUUCGAUCUAUAUUUAUUCUGCGAAUUUAUUUAAUCGGUAUUUGUUCUAUUUGAUAUGCAUCGUAUGUUUGAUCCGUAUAUUUUUUUGAUCUGCGUCCCCAUUAAUUGUCGGUGGUGUUUUCUAUUGGUACAGUAACAAAAACGAGUCACUGGUCCCUUGUCAUUGGUCCCUUGUCAUUGGUCCCUUGUUCUGAGUGUUUUUCUGAGAAAGAAUAGUUUAGUAUCAUCGAGACUAGUGGCCUAGAAAACAUUGUAUGGGUCAAAGAUCAAGAAAGUUUUGUUCAGAAAAGAAACAGUAUAAAGACAAAAGGUAGAACACUGAUUGAUACAUAUAAGCCUUUUUGGUUAAAGAGAACACUAAUAUGUACCUGUUCAACGUGUGUGACGUGUGUUGUGUCCAAAGCACUUGAAAAAGAAUAUCAGUUUUAUCUAUUUAAUAGAGUAAUCAAGUGCACAUCAUCAUUCACAUAACAACUUCUCCUCAGAGACAAGAGAGAUGCCGAUUAGCCAGAGAGUUCUGAAGCAGGUUGCAGCCUUUCCGGUUGUUUUAGCCAUCGUUUGCUAUUUCUUCUUGCCAUCAAUCAACGCGCCGGACCUCCUAAAGGGCACGAAGAACGUUCUCCAAGUGGCUAAGACCAUUCCUCUCCCUGGCGAUGGACCAGAGAGCUUAGAAUUCGAUUCACAAGGUGAAGGCCCUUACGUUGGCGUCACUGACGGUCGCAUCCUCAAAUGGCGCGGCGAAGAGCUAGGCUGGGUUGAGUUCGCCCACUCUUCUCCUCACAGGUUCAAUCUUAACAAAAAAAUGCUAACCUUCCUAUGUUUUCAUUGUUCUAUUUAGUCGUUUAAUAGAUUUUGAUCAAUGUUCAAAAAAUCAUUAGGUAGUAAUUAAACGUUUUAUAGGGGAUUAGUUGUACUUGUAUAGAUGGGACGCCUACAGGCUAUCUAAGCCGAUUUUGAAAAAUAGUUCAUAAAUAUCGUUUCGCUUAAGGCUAAUUUAUUUAUGACAGAUUUAUUAGAGGGUUGACUUCUCUACGCCCCGCAAACUACUUAAAACCACAGUCAAUCCCCCUAGACUUUUAAGCUCUUCUCCUAACCCCACAAAAUUAAAUGAUUCAUCAAAUAUCCACCUAAACUAUUUAUUUCAAGUUAAUUACACAUUUUUUUCUUAUAUAAGAGUACAUGCGUUUAGAAAUUAAAAAAACGUUUAAAAAUAGCGAUUACUCUUUAUCCGAUCCAAUAAUUUUUUUUGGAUCCAUGAUCCACACAAAAAGACCCGACACGUUAAUAGAAAAAACCUAUGCUAACAAACCCUACCUUACACGUACACCUUAAACAACCUUACGCCACUCUCGUAAAGCACAUGUAUCGAAUUGGAGAAAGACAGAGCUACUAGGUGAAGGUUCUAUUUAUUAAAGAUGGAGAAUGAGGCACGCAUAAACUAAGGAAGGAUGGUGAUUUAUGAAUGUUCUUAUAACAAACCAAAUCUAUGAAUGAUGACCUUUGGGAGUUUUAAUAAUUCUUGUUUAGUUUUGCGUCUUAUGGUUAUUUUAAUAACUUUGUGAUCCUAUAAAUGAUGUUUUCUGAGAAUUUUUAGUAAACCAUUUUUCCUUGUGUUGACUUUGAAUAUUUUCCUUUAUAGGAAAAAUUAUAUUAGACGUUGUCUACGCUGAAUCCAGAUGAUGACAUGCGAACAUGUUGUUUGACAAUUGACACUUUUGUUGUUCUCAGACAAACAUAGACUAAUAAUCUUCAAGUUAUUGUGAUGACUGUGAUGGCUUACGUUUAACAUAAUCAAGUUUACAAAUGUUUAUGUAUAUAAAACAAACUAUGUCACUACAACAAAGUGGCUCCUUACAAACGAGAACAAGAUGAUCCCUUUGUCUCUUUUCUCUUGUUUUAUGGGAAAUAAGUAAGCAACAAAAUUUUCUAACACACAGAACACAGCCCGAUGGAGAUUAUAGAACUCUGGACAGAAUAAUGUGCAAUCUCAAAAAUUCAAUAGUAAAAGUCACAAAAGAAGAAGAAUUUUUCUUGACGUGGUUGCAGCUUGUAGCGCCCUAACUCUAGCCUUUAAGACCAUCCCGGGUUCAUCUGCCACUUGCAUUGAAUAAAAAUUUCUUGGAGCUUGUAACUAAAGUUCUUCGGUAAUAUAUAGCUUUAGACAUAGGUCCUGGAACAAAAGGGAACUGAAACAUCCACCAAACCACAAAUAAUCCAAAGCAAAAAACAUAUAAGAAAACUUACAUAGAAUACCUUAGAUCGUGUUCAUAAAAAAAAGAAAAAGAAUAUUGUAGAUCGUUGCUCUCUUUUACGUUGUAAGUAAGAUUCAAAUCUUAAACUAAAAAACAAUCUCUAUGAAGCUUCCUUAAGCUUCUUUUCAUAGAGAUGAAGUAUGAACCCUAGUUUCAGAGCAAUUGAGGGCGAAAUUAUGUCGAGAGUUUCAUAUUCGGGUCUUUUAACUUAAGUCGGGUCAUACGGUUGGGUGGGGAGAUUAUCGGGUAGUUUUAUGGUCAACGUGAUUUGUCUGAUCGCGUUUUAUGAAACUAAACGCAAUCACGUCGAAAUCAUACGAUAUGUGGAAUUAAUUCAGGAAAAAUACUUUAGGGAGAAAACUAAUGAAGCAGAUUAGUUUAUGGGGUUUCUUAAUGAGCCUAAAAGUUUAGGGGGGUUUGGUGUGGGUUUAAGUAGUUUGGGGGGUGUAAAGAAGGCAUCCCUUUAUUAGAACAUUGAUUCACAUUAACCUUGCUAAUGAAUCUGACCUCCUCCCCUUUUUUUUGGUGAGUGAAGAGAUAACUGUUCAAGGCAUAAAGUAGUUCCAAGUUGUGGGAGACCAUUGGGACUUAGCUUCCAUAAGAAAACAGGAGAUCUGUACUUUUGUGAUGGU
rnacentral:lncRNA from 1 species